CCCGGCCGCUCGCUCGCAUUGCUCCGGUUAGAACCAUGGCGAAAGUACGAUCUGAAAACUCCCUCGUCGGAGGAUUUGAGGACUCAAUGGGUGGAUUUUAUUUAUAAUGGGAACGUACCCGCGGCACUUCCAAAAUAUCUGUACGUAUGUGUGUACCAUUUCACUUCGGACUGUUUUAUCAACGAGGGACAGUUCAAUGCUGGAUUUGCUAGAUGUCUGAAGAUAAAGAAUGGAUCCGUACCAACUAUCCGUGAUCCUACUACAAACUGUAUGUAUGGACGUUUUAUAUUGACUUACUGUUUAGCGUAAAUUCUCCCCGGUGCCUCAACACGGCCAUCACGCUUUGAUAAACACACCGGAUCCUCCCGUAUUUUAGCCGCUCGCCUCUUCUUCCCCGACAACUCCGGCGGCGGGGGGACAAAAUCCCCCUCCGGAGCAUGUAGCUUUAGCAUUUACCCGUGCGGCGACGCGCCUCUUUUGGCUCGUGACCCUCCUGGCGGCUUUGAAUAAUACAUAUGAUGUGUCGACUAGGUCGCUUCAAGUCGCGUUUGGUCUGAACGCGGCUAAGAGUUUCUUCCGGAGCCUCUCCCUCUGGUUCAGACUCUGGCUCAAACUGGUAGGAUUGUACGAGCGAUCUUCUUGCAGCCAUGACCGAGACUGUUUUUAGCUGAUAAAAAGAGCACUAAAAUAAUUGAUCCAAAUCGAAUUUUGACCGAAGGACGUCACAGACAUACUUUUAACACACCAGGGGACUAUUUUAAGUUGUGUGAAAUUGGCAUGCCAUGGGACCUUUAACUCACCGGGACAGCAUGUCCGCAUUUCAACCAGGCCGGGAGCACGGCUGCGCAUUUGUACUCGGAAAGCCGGGUGCAUGUUGGUAUUUCAACCCUUCAAGUCAGGAAAAGCGCGUUGGCAUAUCAACCUUCCAAGUCGGCGACGCCGCUGCGCAUUUCUACCCUUUAAUUUGGGAGCGUGGAUACAUCAUUUUGUAACAUUCUGUAGUUUUUCAGUCAUUUCUGGAGUCGUGGUGAAUCAAAUCAUUAUACCCGUCUGCCUCUGAUGGGCUAAUAAAGUAAUCGGAUUCAUGCUUGGAUCUUGCUACGAGCUUCAUGAGUAACGUAAACAAUGACAGAGGCAGAGAGCAGCUUCGGAGGGGAAGCAUCCAGCAGUGUGAACAACCUCUUCAUAUUGAGUGUUUUGGCUCACACUAUCGGCGAUUUCUGUGAGUGUUGCAUGACUUUGAGUGAGCACAGAGAUGAACACACUGUUUUUUUAAUGUUGCUUUUGUACUGGCACUAUACUCGGGCAGCUGCACACCUUUUCAAUACUUUAUUUUUUAUAUUUACAUUUGUAUUGAAUGGACACUUUAUCAUGACUGCCACUUGUUUUACAGAAAGCAAAUUAUUUGUUAUUCUCCAGUGCAGAGUCUUUACUUUUAUUUAUACAGCCGCUUUAAUUCAUUUGAGUUGGUUGGUUCAAAGUUUUCAAUAAUGUGACGAAGGUUAGGAAAACUUAAAGUAGUUAUCUUGAAAGCUACACGUGUAAACUCUAAAAUACUUUUUGAAUUUCGUUUCUAUCUGCUACAGAGGCUGAGAUAUCAGCUUUUUUGUAAACCUCAACACUUCAGAAAACCUCAGGAUCUGGGGCCCUUCUCAAAAUUGCCUUCAGGAUUUCAGAGGCGUGUUUCAGACAGGGUUCAGGUCUUAAUGGGUUAAAGGCGCUCUGUCACAUGGUCGAAGAAUAUUUAUAGAAAAAUGGAAAUGCACUGCAGCCGUAUCCCAUCCUUUUAUAGAUCCAUCCACGAGCAGCUGUAGUCCAACUACCUCCAUGCCCACGCUUUCAACCUCCACAGCUGGGCAGAGCUGAUGUCUUUACUGCCUGUUACUGUAUAUAUACUGUAGGAGCUCGGCCUUUUUCGAAGCAGUAAUGAGCUGUAAAUGCGUAGUGUAAAGUGUCACACCAACUAUCCUUUCUGUGGUUUCCUUGAGUUGUCAGAAUGUUAAAGCCAGACUGGAACAACACACUGACUGUUUCUUUUGGGGGAAAAGCAAAAGUAGAGAAAAAGUUCCAUAAAAUUUCACAGGUAACCAUCAAUGUUUUUAUAUUUGUAUCAGAUUGUUGAAAGGCUAAGGGCUUGUUUAACUCCUACUGAAAGUCUGUUUGCAAAUUACAACCUUCCCUAAAUGUCGUAAUGCAUGAUAAUGUUACUUGAAAAGCAAAACUAAGUGAGUUUUAAUGUCAUUGCUAUUCAAAUGCGUCGAAAACCACCUAAGAAAAAUUCACCUCGAGACUCAUAAUACAUUUAAAUGCCAGUAUUAUAUUUUCAAGACCUUAAAUCCCAUUAUGUAACCACUUUUUGAGAUUCUGAAGUGUAAUUGAGCGCUGAUUUUGAGAGAGAGAUACACUUUUUUUCAAACAAGUCUCAAUCAGUUUAACAGUUCUUAGCACAGCUCCAAUCAGGGCAAAAUCUAAUGACAGCAUACCCAGAAUCCCAGCAUCCACAUGACGCUGUACAGUGAUUGUCUGAUUAGCCGCAGGAGCUGAGAGAAUAAUUACUCAGCGGUCCCUCCUUCACAGUUUGAAGUGGAGGUGGCCUAAUGACAGGUAAUUUAACUUCUCUCCCUCAAAGCUAAAAUUUGAAAGUCAUGAAAUUACCACGCUAUAAAAAACUGCUCUCAUAAAGACCCUCCAUAAAACACGUUUAUAGUGUAGGCUCUGCUUACUUGUGCAAGAAAUGAAAUAAGAAAAGUACACUUUAUAUCAUUCCAAGGUUUCUUUCGGGAUGAUGUGUUUAUUUGGGUAUGCAGAUUUCUUUUAGUCUGCCGUUGGCGCGACACACACUCUGCAAUUUUAUAAAUAAAUGUGGGAAGUAAGCUCAUACUGUAAAAGUGAAUCAUUAAGAACGCACAACUGGAGCUCUGCUUUUAUGUGCUCAUGCUGUUUGUGUUAUAUUAGGAUGGAGCAUCAACGAAUGUGAGAAAAGUUCUCUUAAAAACACCCACUCACAGAAGUUAUAGCCAGAAAAUACAACUUUUACAGCAAAGAUACAGAGAACUGAUCAGAUUUUUGACAUGACAGGAAAAACUCCAAAUGUAGAAGCUUUGCAACAGUUGAAUUUGUGUUUCAGGUGUCGCUUUGGUCGCGCAAGACUUCACAGGUGGUUAUGAUAUUGUGGCUGAGCUGUGUCUGUGUAUUUCAGUUGUCCACAUCACGCAGCUUGUUGUUGCCAAGGUGUUUUCAGCUGCUGUCUGCCAUUUUUAGAGAAGAGGGAAAAAAGCCGAGUAUUAUAAAAUGGGCUUGUGGCUCUGCUUUCACUGUAAGAGUGUGUGAAAUUAGCCGACAAGGGUUUCUGACAUGCCAGAAUUUAUUGAACAAGUCGGGCCCAGCCGAUUGAGUCGGGAUCAGCUUUUGUGACCCCGUGAACAUGGCAAUUCAUGGAGCCACGAGGCUAACAUUUGGACUGACUUUGAAAUCCAAAUCAAUCAUGCGCAGCAGCUGUUGUACUCAGUGGCGAUCUGGGGAAGAGCCCUCUUGGAUAAGACUCAUAAAAUGGAGUCCACUGAAUGACCUACCAUUAGAGCUACUUGAAAAAAGUGCCCUCUGUGUGACCUUCUGGUAGAUUAAAAUGAAUAAACUGAAAAGAUAAAAUAAAAUUCAUUUGAUAGAACAUGACCAAACAGCCAUGAUAAACAUGAUAAACAGAAUAAGGAAAAGAUGUCCUCUGGUUGGAUUCCAGUUCAUGAAAUCAUUAAAAAAAGCUCUUCUUUUAUAUCUAUGUGAAAAGUGUGUCCUUUAGUUGCACUUCUAGUAUUUUAAAAGCAUUCUCCAGAUAUCCUUGCUGCAUAUAAACCUUGAAAAAGUGUCACUUAUUUGCUCAUUUAGGGUAUACAAACCUUUAAAAAGUACUACCGUUUUAGGAAUAAUUCAGAAAAGUGUCCUCUGAUUGCCCUACCGGUAUAUCAAACUAUUCACAAACUACUCUCUGGACACACUUAUCGUAUGUAAACCUUAAAUAAGUGUCAUUAAGUUGCUCCUCCAGUACCUAAAUUGAUUAAAAAGUACUGCCCUAUUAGCACUUAUUUUAAAUGCGUCCUAUGAUUGCUCUACCGGUAUAUCAAGUUAUUCAAAAAGCACUCUCUGGACAGUAGUAGGAGAUAAACUGUAUAAAAAUUCUAACCUAAUUGCUCCUCUUCUAUAUAAAAUGAUUAAAAAUACUGCGCGAUUAGUACUUAUUGUAGAAAGUGUCCUGUGAUUGCCCUACCGGUAUAUCAGAUUAUUCAAAAAGUACUCUCUGGACACCCUUCUAGGAUAAACACUGUAUAACAAAGUCAUUUAACUGCUCCUCCAGUAUAUAAAAUGAUGAAAAAUACGGCACUAUUAGUACUUGUUGUAAAAAGUGCCCUCUGAUUGCCCUACCAGUAUAUAAAAUGAUUCAAAAGUACUCUCUGGUCACCCUACUAGUAUAUAAACUGUGAAAAAUUGUCAUUUAAUUGCUUUACCUGUAUAUUUACUGUUUCAAAAGCACUCCCUUCUAGUAUUUAUUGUAAUAAAAAGUGUCCUAUGAUUGUCCUUCCUGUAUGAACUGUUUUUAAGUGCUUUACAGAUACAUUGCAUAACUAUUUAUUGUAAAAAACAACAACAAAAAAAGUCCUCUAAUUGCUCUCCCAGUGUAAACUUACUCUUUGGAAAGCCCUCUUGUAUGUUAAUAGCAAAAAUAAUAAAAAAUCAAACCUCACUAAAUGUAAAAGACCGUAAGAAGAACAGACGGUAAACCACAAAUAGCUCUGUGCUCUUAAUCUCUCCUGCCACUGAGUCUGUGAACUGCACUGGUUUAUUUUUCACUUUAGAUGAAUUUAGUCAAUUGGAACAUUUUUUUUCUCUUGAAUGCAUGAAAGAGCGCCUAACAAAAAAGAUAUGUGAAGCUUUAAAACUAAGCGUUUGAGGCCACCAGAGAAAGGAGCGGUGUCAAAUCCCAGUUCAGCUGCCUCUUUCAUGAGAGGAGACCAUUUGUGCGAUUGUGUUUUAUUAAAGCUGAAUGUUUUCUUUGGCUUUUUAUUAGACCUUUAAAAAGUCCCGACCCUCUUUUAACUCUGUAUAAAUUUCUAUAAUGUGUUUUAAACCCAGAAGUUCCUCAGAGUUGCAAAUGGUGUUAAAAUUUUAAUUUAAAUGAUCAGCUGCGAAAGUUGGCCUGCGUAUUGAGGCGUACUGUGCAAAGACAGAACCAGUUAAACAGAGGACAGAUCCUUUGUCUUCUUUCCCCUCCCCCUUUCUCUCUCUCUGUCCCUCUCUCUUUCUGUCUUCAUGCAAGCUGUUAUUUUUGCAGGUGCAUCUGCAGUGAUCUAUUUUUCUCCUCACAUCUUUUAAUGAUUCAUGUUUUGGGGAUUCUCGCCCCCUCUUUCUAAAAGCUCAGUGAGCAGAGAGAGAGAGAGAGAGAGCAGGGGGAGGACUGAUCACAGGAAUAAGUGAGUAAUCAUAAGGGUAUGGGAUUAAAAACACAAAGAUUAUAAAGAAGAGUGAAAUGUUGUGUUAAAGAGGAGGCUUGUAGCAAUGCGUGUUGAGGUGUUUUCUGGAAAUAGAUGGGGAGCGCUGAAGGAUCUGCAGGGAUGUGCUCAGGGACUGUGAUCUAUCGAGUGGAAAAAAUGAAAUUUCAGCAUAACUGACUGGCUCAAUACAUGCAUUCUUUAUGUCGGUCAUGACACAUCCACACGUCUUUGUCUAAAGGCCUCAUACCACAGAGACAAAUGAAACUCAUCAUCUGUUUCAAAUGAAGAGCUUUUAAUGUGCAUAUUUUACCACUCUGGAAAAAAUACUCCCUUUAUUUAUUACUGGGCUGCAAUGAAAAUGCAAUCAACAGUUAUACAGCCCAUUUAAACAAACUCUUUAAUAUUAAGUACCGUGGAUGUAAACAGACCGUACUGUCUGAUGAAGGAUUAACAUUCAAAGGUUGACUUCGCUUCAGGGUCUUUUCUGACUCUGUCGGGACUUUCUUUGAUUUAAAGAUGAUUGCAUUAAAUUCAUAGUUAUUCAUCUUACAGCUAAAAAUAAAGUCACCUGAUUACAUGGUUGGAGAUGCUUUAGCAACAGACUCCUGUUAGCUGUCCUUGGAGAUAAAUUAGCAUUAAAGUCAAGUCACAUUAGCAAAAGCAAUAAGUAUGCUAACUGUAAAACAUGGCGAGCUAAGCUGCUAGAGCUAGGCUACAGCAACACAACAAAUAUAACUUUUAAUUAGCUAUUAUCAUUAUGGUUGCAGCUGCAUUAGCAACAGACUCCUGUUUGCUGUCCCAGGAGAUAUAUUGGCACUAAAGUCAAGUUAACACACAUUAGCAGGAGCAAUAAGUGAGCUACCUGUAAAACAUGGUGAGCCAAGCUACUAGAGCUAGGCUACAGCAAAAUGACAAAUAACUAUUAAUUAGCUAUUAUUAUUAUUAUUAUGGUUGGAGAUGCUUUAGCAACAGACUCCUAUUAGCUGUCCUAGGAGAUAAAUUAGCAUGGAAGUCAAGUUAACAUGCAUCAGCAAUUGAAAAAAGUAUGCUACCUGUAAAUCGUGGCGAGCUAAGCUACAGCAACGGAACAAUUAAUUUGAUAACUUUAGCUAUGUAUAUUAUCAUUAUUUGCUGAUGGUGAACUCUGUUGAUUGGUUUUGGAGCUUAUGUGUGCCCCUGUUAGGUAAGGAUGCUGGGUCAUCAGAAGCUUAUGCAACGGAUUAGUAAGAGAGAUGUGACAUCACCGUCAUGUAAAGGGUGGAUAGUCAGGUUUUGGCCGUUGUCACGACUACUGAUCCUUAACAGUUUGUUCUAUGAGACUAGAGGCAACCAGGAGCUCCAGGGUGAAGCUUUUACACACCUUUUUCUUUUUUGGUUAUGAUACCAGAACAGAGCACCCUGCUGCGCCUCAACUUUGUUCUGGGAAAUCCGAGCUUUUGAGGGUGAUGAGGUGCUACAUGAUCAAAAAAAGAAUAAAAAGAUGAGGAGCGAUUCAGAAAAUGAAGAUAACGUUUGAUGUGGUGAACGGGACUUUCUGCAUAAGUAAAUGUCAGAUGAAGCAAAUGUCACAAAUUGACGGGUCUCACCGCAGUCUGGAUUGCAGGACAGGAAGUAGCUCAUCUUUACCUUUUCAGAAAGGGUAUUGAGACUUUCGCAUCCGUGCCCACUGUCAUAUUUAAAGUAGAUGUAUUUCAGACAAUUUAAUCACAAUACAUGUGAACAAGAACAAAUGGUUCAAAGUAGAAAUUAUGCCUGUAGAAUAAACAAUGAAUAAAUGUCGUUAGAAGAAAUAAGCUCUGGCAUUAUGACUCCCUUUCGAUAAGUGGGAAAUUAUGUUUUUCUGGUUCAGUUGACUUUCUUUGUUUUCUUCUUAUCGAAACAGCACAUUAUUAAACACGUAUGGUAAGGUUAAUAAAGCCCUUGAUUAAAGUUAAGUUACACUAAUUUAAAGGCUUUUAACAUACAGAGCUGUUUUUCUCUUCUGUUUUUUGCUUCUAUAAAAAUCUCUUUCCUGAGUGUAAGAUGAAAAAUCUCUACGCUGGCAUCUGAAAUACUUAAAAUACCACAUUUUCUUGCAGGUUCGAGUGUUUAUCAAAGCUUACCUUACAUUUUCUAUCUUUCUGUAGAUGCCACAUUGAAAGUCUUACUGCUGAAACAUCAGGUCUCACCUUAAAAAAUAUGCCAAAGUUUCACAAAAACACAGAUUCUCUCCUGGCACUUUUUCAAGUGCACUUUUGGAAGAACAAAAGGUGUCCCACUUUGCUCCAAGUGUUCUCUUCAAGUGAGUGUUUUACAGGAGUGAAGAGCUGGUGCAGAGCCAUGAACAUGAUAGCCAAGAUAAUGAGCUCCUCUUUUUUUCUGUCAUGGUGGGCAUGCAUAAGCUCUCUGCGUGGUUGUUUUUCCAACUAAUGCACCCAUCUUUGAGCUGAUUUAUCUAACAAUGAGGACGCUUGACAGUAUAAAGAAACAGUGUGAUAUUGUGUUAACAUUUAGUUUGGUUUUAAUGUCAGACAGGGGCUCAGAAAGGAGAAUUGAACCAGCAACUGCUGCGCUCAGUCCUCUAUUGUUCGAUUGUUGUUUCCUCUUGGUUCAGGGGCUUUUUUUCCUUCACUAGCUGUUGUGGAAAUUUCACGUGGUAAAUUGUGCUGCAGUCUUUGGUGUUGCUUUUGAUGUUUGACUGACAGGUAAUUAGCUACAUCGCUGCACGAACGGUGACUUUCGACCUCUGUAGAACAAUGCAAGGACUACUAUAUAGGACGACCCUCCACAAGCUGCUGCUGUUUCCAACAAUGAAACAUCUGAAAACACCUGUUAAAGUCAUAGAGUGAGGAGAUCUUAACCUUUUACGAUCAACCUACGGCUCAAAUACACUCAUACAUUGGUGCACUUCUCCAGAACAGAGGCGUUUUUACGUCAAACUAAGGCUGUACUGUGUGAAUAGUGAAAGAAAAUGGUUAUGUAUUAUAAUUCAAGCACCGCCAACAAGAAAUGAAUCUUAUCUCCGAUGGUCCAAGGUCACGUUGAUGCCUCAGGUUGACUCUGUUGCAAAGAAAAGUUUGAGAAGCUAAAGCCGCAUUACAUCUGUGAAAAUCGUCAAAAGCAGAGGAGCAAAGCGAACAAGGUCACUGACUUCCUCUGAAUAGCACGCUCGCGCUGCGUAGAACCUCGUAAUCCAUUGAAAAUACGGCCUUUUACUCUGUUAUUUUAAAGCAAAGAGGCCGUCUGUGCCUGUGCAGAUGAGCGAGCUACAGCUCCUUUCGCUGUACCCUUUUUUUUCAGAACAGUCAUAAGCAUUUUGAAAUUCGAGGGCGCAUUGGUUACACUUGGAGGAGCAAUUUAUUUCAGGGUUCAUAUGAGGAGGUUAAGCUAGUUCUGUGUAUGAAUAAGCAGCCCGGUCUGACUCAAGCUUGAAUGCACUCACCGAGGAGCCAUUUCUGUUCUCUAUCUUUCAUACUUGCUUUUUCCUCAGUAUAAAUUCACAACGUCCAAACUUUUAGCUUAUUCCUCUGCGGCGCGCACACAUACAGACAGACAGCGAGAGAGGAGUUUUAAAAUCUUAGUAAGACCUUUAUGUCCCGUUCUUCUUUGAACCUCCUCACUUCCUCACCCCAUUUUCUGGAGAGAGAUGCGGAAAGUAGAUAUAAUAUAAAGCAGGGAGGGGAUGAUAGGAGGAAAGAGUAUACGUCUGAAUGACUCGGCUGAUUUAUUCAUGGCGUACACACAUCAAAGCCGGUACUCAAUGAAAGAUGAAGUGCCUUCUAUGUAAAUGAUUUAAUAUGAAAAAACAAACAUGGAGAGCUGAAGGAAGAAGAAAAUACGUGAGGGUUAAUAUGCAAUUAGGUCAAGCACACUAGAACUACAAAGGCUUUGAAUCCACUUGUACCGUAUUUUUAUCAGCAUCGGCCAGUUUUAAACUUUUCUUUAAUUGUAUGGUAAUAUAAAGGCCACGAUAGGCAGAAGUGCUAGCUGGGGUGUGCUAGGAGUUUUAAUCCGAGAUGGCCCAGCUUGUUCACAGAUGGCAUAUAAGAGCUCAUACAGAAAAAUAUCAUGUUUACCCCUCUAUGUCUCCUUUAAUCAUAUUUAGUUUAACUUUGAGGCAUCACUGAUGUUUUAUUCUCAUCUUUUUAUCUAAAAAAAGAAAGCGCGGCUGAUGUUUCGUCCCUUUAGCUGUUAAAAAACAUGCAUUCUACUGACUAAUAAUACAUCCAAGAUCUUUCGGCUUGGCAUGACACACACCAGAACAGAUACUUGUGGCUCUAAAUGGAUACUGAGUUCAGUUGCUCAAUAAAUUUUUCUCACUGUUUCUCCUUCACUUUGAUUGUCUCUGCCAAAAUCGGUCAAACUGAAUUCAAUAACACUUAUACAUAAAUCACAGACAGAGCCUGCUAGUAUGCAUUUUGAUGAUAUACUUUAAAAGACAAUGCAAAAAACUUAGUUCAACUUCUACCACGAAUAAACUGUAGUAAUUAGUUUUGCAUUUAGACAUUAGAGCUGAAGCUACUUUCCAACUCCUGUCUCAAAGAAAGAAUAUGAAGUAGGGUGACCAUACGCUGUCUUUUACCCGGACAUGUCCUCUUUUUGGGGGGCUCUCCGGGCUCGUCUUGCUUUGUCCGGGGAAGGUUUUGUAUGGAAAUUUCGAGUUUGUGUCACGUGGACUCACUGAGUUAGAAGCACGUAAAAAACACUCGAUCCAACUCGAAAACUCCCAAAAUUAAAUACGUGCGACUCUGUGACUCCACCCCGGCAUAGUCAUGUCCUGUCUUUGGGAAGUCAGAAUAUGUCACCCUAAUAUUAAGACUUCAUUUUGAUGUUAAAGUUAGUGAAAUUACAACAGAUAUUUCCAGAAUGGUUGCUCCUAUCUCUGAUUUUACUUUGCUUACCCUUAUUCUCAGUAUCUUUGUAUCUAAAGAUAAUAACAUUGCAGUUUGUCUUCUAUGGAAAUGCUGUCUGCCUAAUUUGUAAUCUCACAAUUGCCACUUCCUGUACUCCUGGUGCUCCAACCACUAUUAAACCACUUUUAAAAAACAGUUUCAUUUAUCAAAAGUGAGAGAAUCCUACUCCUUCAGGCAUCUCUGUUUCACUGUGUUACAACUUGUUACCAGAGGGGGCUCUAACAGUUUAGCCUCUGGUUGCAACACAGCGCAUAAACUGUUGAGACUAACCUCUGACAACCAAUCACAAUUUAGGAAUCUGGUAUGGCACCUGAAGUGGCCAACCAGCAUUCAAGGGAGACCAUGCCGCCCCCCUGGCCAUUCCUCUGGACAUGCCUUUGACUGUGUAAUCCACUUUAUCUGUGAACAAAAAUAGCAGGUUUUUAUAGUGGACUGGGGGUUUGGUGUCACUGUGUCUUCCUGCUCUCUGAGUCACUGUUCCAGCCCCGAGAGCAAAACCUCAUCACAGCUUAUGAGAGGUCAUGGGAAAGAAACACAUCUAAGGCCGGUGUAGUUGUCACCAAAUAGACUGAAAUGAGCUACUCAGCUGAUUCGACUCAUUUUUACAUGCUCUUAUUUGUUGCUUUCCUUAAAAGGCCCAUUUUUAAACAUGUAUUGCACAUUUCUUUUGUAUUUUACAUAUAUAUCGGAUUUGAAUUGACUUGAAAAAGGUAGGAAUAACAAACAUUUCUCUGCAAAAAGUCAAUAUCUUGGAGCUGUAGUCACAGGAGGUUAUACCGACCCUGCUGUUUGUACAAUAGACGUGUGACAGCUUGACAGAAAUCAUCAUGCAGAAAUUGUGAUUCUGGAAAUAAACCUUGGCAGCAGAACAGAGGAAAGAAAAGUACAGAACCACUGUAGCUGAGGUGAGGUGAUGGUCAGGGGUGUCAAAACAGUUUGAUGCGCCGCUUAAUGCCUGAAGCUCGCCCGCAGCCAUCCACAACAACAGGUGACUCAGUUGACGGCAGCAUGUGGCAUUUUCUGUCGGUGCGGGUCACGCGAGCUGAAUGAGCUGACAUGUUGUGGGGUUGUCAUGACAUUUUUUCACAUGUCAAAGACGACGUAGUGUUUGUGUCUGAGUCAGGGAAUGCCGGAUAACGACAAGUACGUUCUCACAGAGGAUAUUGUCUGCAUGGUAGUGAGCAUCAAUUAAACAGUCACACAAAAGCAGAAUAGACUUGUUCUUUUUGGAAUGAUAACACCGAUAAAAUGUUAGUAUUUGCAAAUAUUUGUUUUUAGGAUUUAUAGUUCUGACAGAUUGAAGAGAAUGAAAACGUCCAUAUUUGGUUUGAGCCUCAAUGUCCAUAUGGAGUAGGACCCAUCUACUUAGCUGGCUUAUGUGCUUUCCAAGGUCUUUUACAGGACAGCUGCCCAGAAUGAACAAACAGUGCAAAGCAUAGAACUGAUGGAUUAAAUUCAACCAGAAACAUCAGAGACCAGUUUUUAUCACUUUAGGUCCUCACAUGAGACAGAAGAGUUAAAGUAGAAUUUCUUGUGAUGCAAGACUGUCUGUAAAAACACAGCAGAUGAGCGAUCUUAGCUGCAGAGCUCUCUGGAAAAAAAAAAGUGCCAGAUGCCUUACUUGAGUGUUCUUUCACAAUAAAAAGGGCCCAACAGUGCAACAAGUACCACUUGAAUUCCCUUAUUUUGGGUUAAACAUACAAAUAGUGCUAUCUGAAUGCCCUUCUGCUGUAAAAAAUGCAGAUUACCUUUUUUGCAAAUGCACUUCCUGUUUAUGUCAUAAACAUGGUGUCAUUUGGAUCUGUUUUUAACUUUUUAAUUCUGGAAAAAUGCUGUCCUGGUGUCCUUUCCGGCGUUUCAAAUGUUGACAAAAUGCCCUCUUGAUAUAGUGUGUAAAAAAAUUCUUCUGUAUGCAACUCUGGGGGAAAAAGAAUUUAAAUUCCUGCCUGAAUGCCCUGCCAGUAGAAUAAACUUAAAGUAAUGUCCUUUGGAUGCCUCCCUGUGUAUCAAAAAAAUCUGGAAAAAUUGUACCAAUUGUUCAAAUGUUGACAUGGUGCUCUGUCGAUAAAAUGUGGAGUCGUUCUCUGGAUGCCCUUCCUGUGGAAAAAUAAAAUAAAAUAUGCACACCGAACUACCUUCCAGUAUGAAGCAUUUGAUAUUUGAAAAGUUCCCUAUUGAUCCCUCUUUAAUAAACCUUUAAAAUGUUGAUUUCUUGUCUCUGCAUAAGACAUAAAUAUGUGCCCUCUGGAUGCCCUUCCUUUGGAGGAACCCUUUUCAUAUUAUUUGUACCCGUUUAAAUGAACCCUGUAGGUAUGAGGGAGUGACCAUUUUUUCCAAUUCUGUAGCUCUCCAGGCCGCCAACUACCCAUGGCUGCAAAAAUACCAUUUUUACAAACUCACAUUUGUUUUUGACAGGUUAGAACAGAGUCUGUGCAACUUCCUUAUGGUCACAAAAUGUUGAAGAGAGACAGAAAAGUGAAGAGCAACAGAAAAGUCUUCAAAAUGCUGCUCCAGGCAGAUCUGUAUCAGUCAUGUACAGAAGGUGCCCUUUUUUUUGCUCUUGCCUCUCAAUCUGCCUGACUACUUCACUAUCCAGAACAUUCGAUUAAUUGGUAAAUAAGCUGGAAACAAAGGAAAGGACAGGAUCUUGCAAAAUGGUGAUCAAAUAUUAAUCCAGUGUAACUUUUUCCGUCCGAGUUCUUCAAACAGUAUCUCCCUCCAAAUCUCUGGAGUAAAAAUCUAAAGUACAGCGAGCUGCUUUUAGCUUUUAAAGUCAUAGAGUAGCGGAGCAAUGCUCCCGGCUAUUUUUUGAGUGUUUUGAAACUAAUGGAAGUCUCAGUGCUGUAACUUCUGAGAUUGAAAUGUUCUGUCUGUGGUUUAGUACAGAAUCAGUUUUCUGCAAAGUACACCAUCAGGGCCUCACUACGAUUUCUGCAUGUGUAUGCAUGACUAAGUGAAAAGGUUUACUAAUGAUGGACCACUCAUGCAAAACAGGGCCAAUACCAAUGAUUAAGAUGAAAACUAAUAUUUUAGAUUCCAAAUUCAGUCUUAAUGACUCUUUUCAGGUCCUUCUUGGAUGUUACUGGAACAUCCUUUUAAAAACCAGUGUCUCUGUUAUUUCUGAAGGAUGGUAAAAUACUCCCACACAGCUCACAUCUUCUUUCAAGUUUGGCCAAGAAAACAAAUUACAGUUCAUCCAACAGGUGACCACUGUUCUCUGAAUCAGAAGGUAGUUUGCCAGCAUCAAAUUGAUGGGACACAACAGAAAAACAUCAGCUACUGACACUGGUACAUGGUGCAGAUGGACCAGUGUUGGACAAAAAGGCAAAUAUCGGCUGAUUGCAACAUCCAACCAAAACUUUUACAGCCCUAAUCUCUUAUUAUUUUAAAGUGUCAACAGGGAGGGUUACUCUGAAAUACUAACUCAUGCAUAAAUAAAGAUUUGGUGUGUUAAAAACAGACUGGAGAGCUUGAAGUAUACACGUUUAAUUAAAAUCUACGACGGCUGAUGCUCUUGCUCAAGUUGUCUGUGAUCCAUCUCACCACAUCAGAACAGGGUUUGGAUCAGUCCUGUCUCUCAGGUGAACAACCUUAGCAUAGACGCUCCUUAUGAUGAAAAUACAAGUUUUUCUAUUUACAAUCGAGAUUGUUUAGAUCAGUUAUGAGAAAAUUACGAAACAUGUUGGUCCAAACUUGUACUAUAUCGAAGAAACCGCUAAAACAGUGUGGAGUUCCACAAGGCUCAAUCCUAGGGCCUCAUUUUAAAAGAAAAACAUGAAGGGAUCCCAAAGGAAACCUUAAAACUUUAGUAGAUGCAUUUUUUUCACGUGUUAAAAAUCACUGCAUGGAUCGGAGCUCUGCCUCUACAGCCCUACACGUUCUACAUAUUGUAACAUGUUCUAUCACAUCAUUGUUAUUCCAUCUAGAUGUCCCCUUAACCAUCAGAGACUGCAGAUAAAUCCUGGCCUCCUGUGUCUAAUGGGUCACAUGCACAUUCACCGCCCUGACCUUCACGUCGUUUUGUCAUGCUGCAUGAAUCUCACAUUUACGAUAUGAUGCCUCUUUUUUUUUUAAUACCACCCCAUUUCCUGACACUUGAGUAUUUCCAGAUUACUUUACCUUUCCAUGUGUUCUUGUAAAAAGGAGGUAGUCUCCACUAGCAACACCUCAGCCAUUUUCAACAAUCUAUGGUGUAAUAAAACAAGCUCUUAUCCACGCCAUAAUACAGAAUCCUCAGACCCAAAUGCAUCGUUCAGAAGCACAACUUAAUAUAGAGCUAGUGUCCAUAUAGGAACAUCAAAGCCGGGAGACAAGGAUCUAAGUGAUUCAAAAUGAGAGGAAGUGAAAAUGCAUUUGUGUCUCUCUUUGCUCCACGAGCUGAAGAGGCUUUAAGAGAUGCCUGUGAGGCUGCCCGGGAGGCAGGGCAAAUAAAGAAUUUAAGAACUGCUCUGCAGGGGCCGAAGGUCGGACCAGAGUUGUGGUUUGGGAUAUUAAAUGAGAGUAAGAGAGUGAUGCAUUCUGCAGAUAACCACUAAAUCAGAAUCGGCGGCUUUGAAGAAGUCUCAUCACAACAUAACAGCCACAAGGCCAAACAGCGAGUAGAUCGCUGUGUGCUGGUGGCAAAGACACACUCAGGGGAAUUAAUGCGUGCACAUUGUCGAACAAGACUUGGCUCUUAAUCUGACUGAAUAUGUUGACUGUCAGUGCAUGAUAAAAUGAAGACUUUGACAUUAGAGAAACAUGUGGCGGUAAAAAUAGUGUUUAAACUGAUUAUUUAGAUGUUAUAUUUGGAAGUUCUGUUAUUGCAGCCAUAAGCCAGAGUUAAGCAAAAGGGAAAAAAAGGACCCAAAUGCAGAACGAAAUAAAAAGAAACAAAAACUUAAUUUAAAAUACACCAGGAGACAAAGGAUUCACACAUAAAAGAUCACAGGGAACAAGCAGACAUGCGCACACACAUCAACAUACAAUGAACCAACAAGGACAGAGGGAAAGACAGAGACUAUAUACACCCUGGGAAACUAGCAACAGGCGAGGCAGAUGAGACACAGGUGAGAGAUUAACAAAGGAGGGAAAACUGGGGAAGUAUAACCAGACUAGACACACAAGGAAUUAUCUCCCGCAAAAUAAAACAGGAAGAAUUGAAAACUGAUCUAAAGAAUAAAACACAGAGAACAGGAGGGAAACAGGUUCAAACACAAACUGAAAACUCACAAGACAGGACAACAGGAACAAUAGGGAACAGAAACACUCAGAAAAACUGAAAGAAAAUGUACUCAAAGAACAAAACCAGGCAAAAACUAAAUUAACGGAACAGAUCAUGACAAUUGUCCACAUGAGGAGCUGGGAGGCUCGUAUGGGAUGUGUUAGCUCAUGGUGGGAAGUGUGAGGAGCAGGCAGGUCCAAACAGAAAGGAGAAAGAUUGAAGCGGUAACACUAUUGCUUUCUUGUUUCUUGUCUUUUUUUGUGUGUGUUUUAGUGGGUUAGGUGGUGGUUAAAUUAACAUUCAGUAUCCACUCUUAGUUAAUUAACCCUGCAGCUUAAUUCCUCUAGUGCUGCUUAGUGUCACCAUCUGUUAACAGUCAGGAAACACCUUCAGUCUUAAGACUUUCUCAGUGUUCAACAACAAUAUCUCAUUUUCUAAUUCAGCAUGUGUUAAAUAAAGUAGAAGUGACAUGUGGUGAGGGAGGCUUUGGAGUUGUUGGGAGACAUAUUUAAUGGAGCCGGGGGUUACGGAAGUGAGUGAUGAUUAAUGUAACUGCUUACUUAUUCUGUUAAUGAAUGUAAUUAAUUUUUCAAUCAGUGAUAAGUAAUGAGCGUUUGAUAACAUUUUUCAAUUGACUUGCCUAAAACUGCCUUGAUGAGCUUUUUGCUGACCGGGCUGCUUAGCAUUCAGGAGAGUGGAGUUUGAUAUAAUACACUCUAUAGAAAUUUUAAUCAGCUGAGGGAACAGUUCAGAACAAAUCUUUCAUAUUGCACAACUACAUUAAAACACAUUGUCAUCGUAGAAAACUUUCUGCAUAGAUUGUCUUUGACAGUGUAAAGUGUAUAGACCUGCAUGAUAUCACUCAGUACAUUCACAUGAAUAGUUAAGCUGAAAUGGUUAAAGCUCAAGGGGAGCCCUGACGAGUUGAUCACUGAGUGCAGUGGAUCAUUUUGAUGAAGUAAUAAUCAUCAUUAUUUCGCACUACGAACGGGGUAGUUCUUCUGCCUUAGUGUCUCGGUCUGAUUGCAUUUCCAUGAAUAAACAUAACACAAAUGUUCUUCCUUGAGCUGCGAAACUCCGCUGCACUCUGUGAUCAACUCGUCAGGGCUCCCCCACAAACAACAAGCAGCUGCUGGAGGAGAGUGGGUUGUUUUUGAGUUGUGUUUAGUCUCUUUGCUAAAGAAAUAAGGCAAAGUUAAAAAGAUGUUUGAUAGCUAGUACUAUGGCUAGGACCCUAUAUGUACUGUUGAUGAAGUUAGGUGCUGUUCUGAGCAUUAACUGCGGCUAUAGAGUGGCAUUUUGGUUGAGGUUUGCAAGUGGAGACGUAGACCGCUGUGUAUUGCUAUUGUGCGGCCGUUGCUGAAGUUGGUUUAACAAGAGAAGCAAGUGGUCUGUAAUAUUCACCUCUUGAGGGGUGUCUAACUCUGUGUUACUGUGUGUUUGACCCUAACUUAAUUUUACGCCGGAAUAUCCCUUUUAACACCCACUCGAGGGGGCAGCCAUAUGCCUUCUUAGGUCUUGUUACUACUGAGUUGCCUCCAUCACGUCACCAAAUCAAUUGACAAGCACAUUAGCAAAAGGCUAAUGAUGGGAACACCAUCAUAAAAAGUACAACAGCAUAUUUCUCGUGUUCAUCUUCCUGGUUAUAGCCCGACGUGUGAAUGAGAGAAAACUAUCUAAAAAAUUAUUUUAAAGAAAUAAAAAAAAAAUGGGUCCCUUGAUCUCUAAUAGGUGUAAGUGGAGAUAAAACACCUCACUAAAAUCCCACAAAUUCUGUCAAAAUCAUUGACUAACAGAAGAUUUGAGAGUCAGGGAUCUGAAACCAAAAACUGAAAAAAGCCAGCUGAUGGUUUGGACCUCUAAGAAGCAAAACCCAACUGAACAGGAGAGCUUAGCCUCCUCACAUAGCCUCCAAAACCUCAGCUGAGGGAGACCAUAGGCACUCCUGAUUAACCAGUAAACCCCUGGUCUGGAUCUGGAUCUCGUUCUAUAAUAAGUUACUUACAUUACAUACAUACAUUACUUAUAAUAUAUUUCACUUUCUUGCAUGUAUUUGAAAAGUCCAGUUUCAGUUGGACUCGCAAAAUAAAACCGUCUCUGUCUUCCCUUCACUCCACCUCUGAGAGAGAAUAAAAGUCGGUGAGACUUUGCCUGACCAUUACGCCUUUGUGCUUUACGUAGAAGACGUACCAAUCCACCAGUCUGGCUGUGUGCAAGUGCAGCAACGACAUGUAAACUGUUGUAACUCCAAUAGUUAGCCAUGUACCUAAUAUUAGUACCUGUUGUUAGAUAAGGCCAGUUAAUCAUCCUGAGAAUACUUACGUUUUUUAAAUCUUUUAACUCCUAAAUUUCUUCAUUCUUUAAUUUCUCUUUUGUAUUUAUCACUGCCGUAAAUUUGGAAUUGCCCCUUGUGGGACGAAUAAAGGAAUAUCUUAUCUCUGAAUUAUCUAUAUCAGGUACCCUUACAGAGAAUUUACCAGCUUUAACAUUAAAAAGAUAAAAUCACUACUGUAUGAAAUCAGCUACACAAUUACAAAUGAUCACUUUUGAGUUUUAAUGAUUCCUAAAAUAACAGCAAUGUUCAGCAAGAGUUAAUUAACCUUUUGUUUUCUUCUUACUCUGACCUUUUCAGAGACAGAUCUGCGAAAAAGUGAAAAAAAAAAAUGUAAGGGAGAUUGUGUGUAAAUGUCACAGAAAUAUCACACAAUCAUGUAUGUAAGGGGAAGAGGAUGAGUAAUGCCACAUGAUGGAAAAUGUUCAUAAAAGUGUAAGAAUAUUGUAGUUCUGCUGCAUUAAAAACCGUGGAUAUAGUGUCUUCCUAAUGGCAGGAGUUUAAGUUUGCUGUGAUGUAUAGUUUGUAUUUUAUGAAGGUUUGGCGUCGUCUCAGGUCAUAUUUUCCAAACUCGUGUCACAAAUACUCUCUCUGCUCAAAAGACUUUCCUUUUUGGGCCAUUUUCUGCCGUCAGAAUGAUAGUGCUCUCGUUCCUGACAAACUGCUCCGCUGGGACACAGACAGCGAGUACAACUUAAAUAUUAUUGCUCUCACCAGAUGAAACAAAAGUGAACUAAAAAGAGCGCACACUCCAGAGUCUAAAGCCAGUCCAAACACAUCUGAUUUGACUGAAUCUUUCAGCUCUGUGUAUGGCUUUGACUGACAGUCUAAGUGGUGUCAUUGUGUUGGCCUAUUAUUUCAGAAUUAAAAAAAAGGAAGUAAAAGCAGUAAUCUGUCAGUAUUUUAAAAUUAUUUCACUUUGGAAUAAUGUGUCAUACUGGUAUCCACCUCCUCUCACUUUUAGGUCCAUUUCAGUUUGUCUGCAUACAUUUUCUGACUCUCCCGGGAAGUUUCUUUAACCCUCCUCCUGUGUUGGCAUCUGCAACGACCUGUUUUUAUUGUUUUUAAAUCCGUGAAAGAACCACAUAAUUUUUUUUGACUUUGUUAGGAACCUCUAUUUCAAUACAAUACAAUAGAAUUUUUUUUUUUACUAAAUUAUAAAAUGCUCUGGUAGAAAUGAUGGCACUUACUGUGUUAGGGUUGCUGUGAACCCGGUUAGAUUAAGGGGCCUUUUUCACUCAAAGACUGCUAAGAAAGUCCGGAUCAGGGACCAAAUGUUUACAUUGUUGCAUUUUGCAUUUGGUCCAGUUAGCAUUCACAUGCAACUUUUGCUAAGUAAACCAAAUGGUUCGUUUGGAAAGGGACUGAGUCCUGCAUUUUCAAGAGGACUGUGGUCCGUUUGUUUGAUCCAGACCACGGUUCGCUUGCGCGUUCAUACCAGACCAAAGGGUGGUAUGAUUUCAUUAGUGCACUGUUAGUCAACACACUGACAGCCAGAUCUUGUCACAAUUAUGUGACAUUUAGGGAAUUCCCAUUUUGCCUUGUCUUUCCCUGCACAAAAAAAACAAAGUCGGAGAUGUCCAGACAUAUGAGAUCAAUUCAGUAUAGAUGUCUGUGUGAGGUGUAUACUGACACAGAAAGGCCCAGAGACCCACAACAAAAAAAUAUUAUAAGCAAUAUUUUCAUGGAUAAUGAAGCCUAACAAGUGAACCCAGAGAUGAAAAACAAAUUGGAUGAUAGACAACAGUUUUGAGUGUAAUUUGCAGCUGAGCUAAGACACAGGUCGAAACCGACCUGUUCAUGUAGUAGGUGCGUAGUGAAAGCUAACACAGGAGGAAGGUUAAAAGAGGAACAUUUUCAGACAUUCAAUGCAGUACAUGAAAUAAACACCAGGUUUUGGACACCAUAAAAAACAGCCAUUCAGCACAACUAGACUAAAUAAUCACAAAUGCAGAAAUCCUCUUUUGAAGAAGGAUGCCAGUCCCUCCACUGUCAGUAACCUCAAUAAACUAGACUGCAAUGCAGGUGUCACAAGGUUUGAUUUUAGUACAGGUGUGACUCACUUUUCCUCUGAAACCCACUCUCACCAUUUUUAUCUCUGCCUCUGCUGCUGCUGUCUCCACCUACAUCUACGAGCCCAGGCAGGCAGGCAAAUCGAGAAGUCACAUACUGAAGUAAAAAUGGAAAAAGAUAGAGUGCUGUAUUUUGGCUUUUCAUAAGAGAUUACCCUUUUUUGGUGCAAACUGUAUUUUUCUCAUAAAAAAUGACUCAGCGAGGUUUGAAUUUCUCAUUUCCCCUGUGAUUAAUUUCUCCCCACGUGUUUGUUUUAGUGACUGUGAACUCAACGAUUCUCGCUCCUCCUGAAAAUUCGGCCUUUUCUUAAAUCUCGCACGCCAAACAUCUGCUGAAAUCACUGCGCGACUCAUCUCUGGCCACCUUGUUCCUACCAACACCAACGUCUCCAGGCGGUGCUGCCAUGCACUGCUAAAUUCAUUAGUCUGCCACGUGUGUGCCAGAGCCAGCUGCUGUUAUGAUAAUUACUCCAUGUAGUAAAAUCAUGACUGGUUACCAGCUGAGGUAACCAACUGGUGGUCAUUAAGACUUCUCUUUGUGGCAGAAAUUAAGAUUAUACCCAGAUUAGGGCUGUGAAAGGAUUAAUUAUUAAAGGUGGAGUAGUCAGGAUCUAAGGAAGUGCCAGUUUUGGGGAGAAAUCUUGAAUGUAAACUCUACCCCUCCCAACCAGUUUUCCCCUCAGCUCCUCCUCUCCUCUUCUCUGCUCCAGCAAGCCCCGCCCACAAACAGACGCUCCUGCUUGCUCACAUCGUUUCAAUUAAAUUCAGAUUUAAUGCAGAUUAAUACUUCAGAUCAUUACAAAUGGGGCCCAGUCAACGUGAAAGUAAAAAGCAUUGGUGCUACUGUAGAUGCCAACAGACUACCAGCAAACACAAUGUUUGCAGGACUUCUACAACUAAAGUUUGACAAGAAACACUUCUUUUACAGACACUUGGCUUACUUUGUUAGAAGCGGUUUACCUGUCCAGCAGAAAGGUUACAGGAUCAAGAUCCUGACGCGCCCCACACCAAAUGCUGCAUUGAUGUUGACCCGGCUUUUUAGCUCUUGUCCGGUCUACCUCCUUUUUAAGCGCCUGUUAUUCUGUCAGAGUCUCCGGUAUUUACUUCGUUUUCUCGCUUGUGUUGGCAGUCUUGGCUAAAGGAGGCUUUAGCAAAAUGUACGUACUUUGUGGCUGCUUUCUACUGUCCGAUACUGUAGCACGCUAACUUUGUUUGGGCUCCUGAACGAUGCGGGGGAGCAGCGUCUGCCUCACAAACAAUCAGGUUGGGGGAGGUGGAGAACGGCUUUGUUUACAGUCAGAAAGAGCGGACUGUCAAAAGAUUUAAAAUGUUGACUACACAGACAUGAGAACACAGCGAUAUCGUAAUAUUCCCAAAUGUCAUCAAUAACUAAUAGCUAUUGAUCGAUAUUAAAAGCUUUUUUUGUAUAUACACCACAAAAAAAGCUGCUUCUUUAACGGAAUCCUGCCUACCCCACUUUUAAAUCCCUUUUAAACCACUGGUUCAGACUGGAGAGAUCUGUCCUCCUCACUCCUGGAACCUCAACUUUUGCCUUACUUCUCAGUUUAUUUGUUUGUCAGCAGAUGAAUACUACAUCCUGUCCUGAAGCCAGGUUCCUACAAUGCCAAACACAACUAGAAUCUGUGGUAUUUGUGUACCUGUGCAGUGAAAAGAAGGCUGUGGCAUCCUCAUGAAAGCUCUGCAGUGAUGUGAAAAAGGGGAAAAAUGCAGCUUUAUCAUCUGAAAUAAACAAACAGUCUUUGUAUGUUACUGACAAAAGCUGCAACUCUCUUCUUCUGCUUGAUGAGAAAAAGUAGGGUUUGAUAGGUGCUCGGGCUUUGUCAUGGACUUGGCUUUGUUAUCCUCACCUUUAAAGGGUCCUAUUAGAAAAUGUCACAAAAGGGGCCUCUUGUUAUGAGUAAACACUGAGGAGGGAGGUUAUAUUUGGAUGUACAGAAUGUGCCCAUAUAAGGGAAACUAUAAUAAAGCCAUUUAUUUCAUGAUAAUUUGAGGACAGUCUCAAAGUUCUGCUCUGUUGGGAUUUUCGCAGUCAAACUUGUUCUCUGUUCGCUUCAAACUCUGCAGUAGGAAAAGUGCAUAGUUAAAGUACCUAAGGUCAUGCUAGGCCACUGCAGGCUGCCUAAUCUCUGUGCCACAACAAGUGUCCUCUAUGCUCCCACUAUUAAUAAUAGCAGAAGAAGCAGAGAGCAAGUGGAGGAAGAGGAGAGGUCUAAGUGGGGAGGCAUUAAUCAGAUGAGGAGAGGGCUGUGGGCCAGGAAAGUGCUGGUAGCAAAGUGUUAUCAGGCCAAAAAGAAAAGAACUGACAUUGCAGCAGCAGAAUGUACAGUAAAUGGCUAUAAGCAUGUGGGCCACAUAAUAUUACACCAAUAUGUGUUUUACAUCUCAGUUCUGGACUUCUGGCAUUUAUGUGUUGCAGCAAAAGCUUCUAAAAUCGACACUGCUAACAGGAUUUUGGAGCCUAGCUGCAGGGAUUCGCUUCCGCAGAUUCAGAAGGUCAGGCAAAGAUGCAGGGUGAGAAAGUCUGGAUGAUUUUUUUUUUUUUAAAUCCACAUCAAAGAGGGGUGGCCGGGUUGAGGUCAGGGGGGCUGGUCGAAUGUUUUGACAACAACUCCUGAAACAUUCACGAGAGUUGAUUUUUACAACGCUCUGAGACAGAAAAAAGGGGAAGAGACCUUCACCGGCUUCUGUCCAAUAAGUUUAACAGAUACAGUCUGUAUAUGAGUAAUAAAAGCAUAAAAGACUGUAAGUGAAAAGACCGGCUGUUUCUUCAUAGUUAUUUCUGAUGCCUAUAACUGCAGCAAUUAAGAUGGUUUCAGACGAGGAGAUAACCUGCAGGUUGCUGAAACUGCUUCUGUUCUCCUUCUACAGCAGAGUCUCAGUAAGUGGUGCCUUUAACUGUUUAAACGAAGCAGGACAACAAAGAGAUAAGAGGAUCCACUUUGUCUGCAGGGGUCACAGAGAUAGACACCGAAUUAGAGUUCUGCACAGACGCUUCCCUGUAGCCUGUUAAUGCACCUCCCCCGUCACGGUUUGUACAAUCACAGCCAGUUUUCUACCUAAAGGUUUUCACUUUUGUGAGUCGAGACUAAAUUGAGUCAAUUCCUUCGACUCUUGGAGUAGGUUAGAGACAUGUUUCUGAUACUGUUACUGUAACUCAAAGUAAAUUAGAGCUUCACCACUGAACUUAAUUACCGCUCACUCAAUGUUAUCCAGGGGUAUUUUGGCGUGACAGUGUACACACGAUUGUGCAUCUCCUCGUUUUGCAUGCUUUUAUUCAAUGUUAAAUACUUUGUUUAUACUAGUAAUUCUUGAUCUGUUCUAGGAGAGCGGGCCCUUCUGUCUGGCGAGGUGUAGGGUGUAACAGGUGUAACUCUGUUGUUUGAAAGUGAUGUAACUUGACAUUGAACAGCCGUGAUCGAUUGUCGCCUUCUCUUGGCUUGGGAGCCAAACUUCUGUGGGCUCUGUCCACUGAUGGUGGCUUCUCAAAGUUGUCUUCCCCAAGCACAUCCAAGUGUAUUUUGGUUAUGAAUUCCGGGACGGAAAGAAGCCAGUGGAAAUUGACACAUUAACUUGAAUGGAAACGAUCAGCUGCGAUCAGCGUAUACGGCCUUUUCGCCGCUGUUCCGGAUGCGAUAGAAAUUAAGGUUGAGAUUAAUUUGACUAAUUGUGUUGCUGUUUUAUUUUUAAUAUAGAUAUCUCACAAUAUUUUUUGAAUUGUUUCAUUCACAAACUCUUGAGGUGAAAACUGACCGCUCUAAUAGACAUGCUCUGCAGAUUCCUUUGCUGCUCCUCCUCCAACUUAAGACCUGGCAUAGCCUCGGGUUCGUGCUUUCUUUAAAAAUUCAGUAAAGAGCGUCUGCUCUGCAUAGCAUAAGGCUCAGCUCAUCAUCCUCAUCUGGAUUUGCACCAUCACUGCAGAUCCGAGCAGCCUGUUAUACAUCAUCCACCCACUAAAGCAUGAAAUGUGGCUGUAAGAAAUGUGACUGCAGUUAUUACAAGCAAAAAGUCAACAAUGUGCACCCCACUGCAGCCCAGGGAUGUUUGAACACUGAGUAACUCUACCAUCUGCUCGCUCUCUCCCUCUCUCACAACCUUUCUUCAAGACCGCCUCUCCUUGGGGCGCAUAUGCCACGCAGCGAUCCAACACUAAUUCUCCUGCCUUUGCUCAGUUAUCCAAUCUGCUCUACCGGGGAAAUGGAGAAACGGGGGGAAAGAAGGGAGACCCCCUGAACAAAUAAACAGCUCUAGUCUUUCUGACAAUACUGCAGGACUGCAAUUCUUUUUAUUUGUUUUUAUUAGAUUUCACCAUUCGUAUAGGUGCGGAUUAUCACUGUCCAGAUCACAUUGCCUCUUUUGCAAGUAAUCUUGGGGUCUGUGCUCCGUUUUUAUCAGACACUAUACAAAGAUUAAGCAAAAACAGAAUUACUGAUUGGAGCUGCUCCUCCUUUGCGCUCCCCCCCAGAGAUUUUUAGUGUGUAAUCAUUUUAAAAUUCAGGCUGCUCAACUUCCACCAGAGCAGCAUGAAUAUUUCACCCUCUGCAAAUGAGGACCCGGCUAUGAAUUCCUUGAUGGCAGUGAUUAUGACACAGUAAUUAGUGAGACGGUUAUGUGGUGAUGAUCGUCAUUAUUGUGCCCUCAUCAAACGCUGUCAAUCAGGACUCAUGUGAAGCCCACAGACAGGGUAAUGAAAAAGUGUGUGCUUGUCUUUUAGACUAUAUAAAGCACCAGCAUGCUGGCAUAAUGAGAUAUAUAUUCGUCAGACAAUGUGUCUGUAACUCAAAUUAAAGAUCAAAGAGCUGCAGAUAUUUUUACAUAAAGGCACGUCUUUGACCGUGUUCCCACAAACACACAUGAACCACUUACAUGCACACACACGCACACAUCUAAUGAAGGGGAUGCAAUUAUUUGAGCACAUUAUAAUUCCCGACUAGUACAGGUUAAUGGUAUUCAGAGCAAAGUAGGCUAUUCAACAAAAACAUGUAUGCCGUGUAGAUGUGUGGGAAUACUAAACGUGACAUGAAUCACUGAUCGCAGGAGGCAACACAGUGAGUCAAAAAGACCACUUCAACACCUGAGCUUUGAGUUCAGCACUUUAGAUUUUCUGGGAAAUAAAUUCUUUUUGUGACAUUUCAGAAAAAUGUGAAUCCCUUGAACUUCAAUCAAUCAAUCUUUAUUGAUAUAGCACCAAUUCACGACGAUUGUUAUCUCGAGACACUUCACGAAGAAAGGCUGGUCCAGACCAGACUCUGUUUACAAAGACCCAAUUGGAUCAGAUUGAGCCCCAUCUUCUAAGAUCAGACCCACUCCUAUCCCAUUUUCAACCACAUGAGUGGAGCACUUUGCAGUAGGACUGGGCGAUUUAGCAAAACCAAAAAAAAAAGAUCACAAUGUAUUUUGCCAUAUCGUCCGAUCUCAAUUAUUAUCACGAUUUCUAAAAAAUAUUUUUAACUGCCAGUUUUAAAGCAUUUUUACUGAAAACUAAAGAAACUAGAGAUUAGGUCAACAUUUUAUUAACAAACAUCAAAUAACAAAGCAAAAUAGAAAAGAUAAACAAAUAUAACAACCCAUUUUAACUCAACAGUACAGUGAACUAGUUUACUGUCCUGAGUGUUUUUGCAGGUAUGCAGGACCCAAAAUAGACAAAUCACCCCCUCAGAGAUAAUGAAGAUGCCUUAAAAUGUAAACAUUAGAUGAUGUAAAUAUAGAUGAUACGAUUGAUGCUGCUUUAGUCAACAAUGACAUCUUCGGAGGAUUACUCAAAGUCAUGGCUGACAUCUAUUUUGCUGCCCUCAGCUCCAUGUUUGGUCAUUCUCUUUACUUCCACUGUUUACGUCUCCGGCAACUUACAGAAGUGAGCAGGAAAAGCUUGACUCUGAUUGGCUGUUGUCACACACAUUUCCGCUAUGUUUGAUCGAGUAAAUAUGCUCACAGCUGAUCACCGUGACCCAAAUAAAAUUUAUCACGAUCAUUAAUCACAAUCAUACAGUCGCCGGUCCUACUUUGCAGCUUUUAGCAGGUUACAGUGGAGAGGAAAAACUUCCUUUAACAGGCAGAAACCUCGAGCAGAACCAGAUUCAUGUAAAACAGCCAUCUGCUGAGACUGCAGCCAGUAUUUACUCGGCAGCUCUGUUAGAUUUUAGUCUUAGUCUAAAUCAUUUUUACAGUUAAAGUCAGUUGACAAAAAGUCCAAAUCGGUCUUUAACUCAGAAACAAGUUUCACAUUUCUUUCAAGUGCUUAAAUCUGCGGUGUUUCGCUCCCCAUACACUUCUGUAAUCGCCUAUCUGGACUCUUUACCUUAGCUCUAUGAUUCAGUUUCGACUCCCCAAGAAUUACUCCAAGUCAAGAAACACAAUGCUUUCUGUGGUCACCAUUGAUUUAUUCAAAUCUUUGACUUCUUCUUUUCACCGGAGUGGGGUGUUGGGGUUUGGGUACAACCCCUCAUGUACUUAAAGCCAAAAAACACGCUCCAAGAAAGGCACAAAGAUCCACUCCGUGUAGAUGUCUGUUCUUUUUACUUUUUCAGCAUCACUAAAAGACAAUAGAAUCCUCAGAGGUGACCUCAGAAGCAUAAAAUUACUAUAAACCGAUAGAUGCCAAGUUGCCUUUGACAUCUCUUCUAUAAUAAUCUACUGAAAUGUCACAAUAUUGUAUCACUUGCCUUUAUAAGUAAAGAUAGUAAGAGUAAAUUAGGACUUUUUUGGCAUUUUCAAACACAUGAUCGAUAUACAGUAAUGCCUCAAACAGAACUUUUUAUCACACUUUUUCUCUGCUUGGAUAAUAUUUCCAAUAAAGUGACAGCGGCUCUCGUCCUUCGUCUCUCUGAUUUCGUCUUUUCCCUUGAAAUUUUUCGGCUUGCAGCGAGCAGAUUCCUCAAAAGCAGGGGGUGGCAGAGGGGAGAGAGAAAUACCUCCAAGGAUUAGUAACUAAUCCAGGCUUUGGUCUGGGAGGCUUCGGCCUCUGCCUCCUGUCCUUCAAAACACUGGGAGCUCUGUCGGCAGGGUCACCACUAAUGGGUGGGGGCUUCAGGGGUUUACAAGGAAGGAGUGAUAGGGGUGCUUGUUAGCAGGCCAAGGGAGUAUUAGCCGCUUGUGUUAGUUAGUGAGCUUCAGCUGCAGUUGGACUGGAUGUAUGAAAGAGGAGCAGAGCUGCAGCGGGGUACAUUCAAGACUUCGGGUUUUUUAUUUCAGGAGAUAAUUUGAACCAAAACACAUAAAAUCACUCUAAAAGUGCUCCCUGAGUGUCGUUUGCUUAGAUUUGGAAGCAGUGGGAUUAGAUUUUGGUGCUCAAACACGCACAAGCUGUGUUUAAAACAGUGAGGUGUAUUUACUCAUUAAAAAAAACUUCCUUAUUCACAUGCUGAUUUUUUUUCCACUGUGCAGAGAUAAACACUCGGGUGUUUUUGGUUAAAAAGACCACAGUUAUCAAGUAAAGUCUCAGCAAGAAACUUAGAAACUCAGGGGUGUUUUCUGGCGAUAACAGCCAGAGUGAAAAUACUCUAGAAAAUAGCCUCAACAUACUUGAUUUGAUGACCUUUUCGGAUGUCACAAUACAGCUUCAGGAACCCGACAUGCCGGUUAGAAUAUUUUGCACGGUGGAGCCUUUAAAUCUAACUCAGAGUGUGAUUGGACGAUUAUUCUGUCGGUCACUUUCAUUACAAACCGAAACAGCAACAGACAAAUGAGGAAGUUGGCGUGUGCCACUUAAAGGUGGGGUAGGCAGGAUCUGAAGGAGUGCCAGUUUUUGGGAGAAAUCUUGAAUGUAAACUCUACCCCUCACAACCAGUUUUCCCCUCAGCUCCUCCUCUCCCCUCCCUCUCUGCUCCAGCAAGCCCCGCCCACAAACAGAUGCUCCUGCUCACUCUUAUCGUUCCAAUUAAAUUCAGAUAUAAUUCAGAUAAAAACUUCAGAUAAUUACAAAUGGGGCCCAGUCGACGUGAAAGUAAAAAGCAUUGGUGCGACUGUAGGUGCCAACAGACUAUAAGCAAACACAAUGUUUGCAGGAUUUCUACAACUAGGAUAAAGUGACAUAAUUCAGGACCUGAGGUCAACUGUUUAGCGGCGCUACAACACGCAGCAGGUCCUGUCUGAUAAGAAACACUUCUGUUAUGGACACUUGGCUUAAUUUGUUAAAGCGGUUUACCUGUCGAGCCGAAAGGUUACAGGGUCUGUAAGAUCCCAAAGCAUCCCCCAUGGUUUAUGCUUCAUUGAUGUUGACCCGGCUUUUUAGCUCUUGUUCAGUCUACCUCUUUUUUAAGUGCCAAGUAUUCCGCUAGAGUCUCCGGAAUUUAGUUCGUUUUCUUGCUUGUGUCGGCAGUCGUGACCAAAGGAGUACUCAGACAAUUUUCUGAACUUUCUGGUUGGUAUCUACUGUCCGAUAUUGUAGCGCGCUAAUUUUCUUUGGGCUCAUGCACAAUAUUUAAGGAAGGGAGCAGCGACUGCCUCACAACCAAUCAGGUUGGGGAGGCGGAGAAUGGCUUUGUUAACAGUCAGAAAGAGCAGGCCGCUCGAAAAAUGUUAAAUGUUGACUACACAGACAUAAGAGAACUCAGCGAUAUUGUUAUAUUACCAAAUGUCAUCAAUAACUAAUAGCUGUUGACCGAUAUUAAAAGCUUUUUUGUAUACACACCACAGAAAAAGAUGCUUCUUUAACGGAAUCCUGCCUACCCCACCUUUAAGGCUCAAAGUAAACAUGGGAUUAUACAACUGAACUGUUGUACUGUGAAUCUCAUCGAUAACAACCCCUGUAAAGGUUUCACCUCUGAAGGCGGCACACUUCGCCAAUUCCCAUGAAACUGCAGCUGUAGUAACAUCCAUCCUGAACUCUUUACAGGCUGCCACUAACAUGCCCAUAGCCACUGCCUCUCUCUGUUUAAAUGAUGCCGAUUGGUCUGCUGAACGAGUGCAUCAGCUUCAAGCUUUGCAAGAUGGAUCCUAACCCAAGGUCAGAUGUGGGAUCAGGCCAAUACAUUUGAUUUGCAGGGUUACAGCUUCAGGGUUUUCUACAAAAAUGACGUCAGUCCAGUGAACCACAAAUGACUGUAGGAGGAUGUAUUGCUAAAGAGUCCAUGUUAUCUGCCUAUCCACUUUAAGGCCUGUUUAAAGGUCUGUCAUGUGAUUAACUAUGUUGUUAUGUCGUCCUGAUUUCAUUUCGCUAACCUGCUGCAUCAGCUCUAAUCGAAUCUUCCACAUUAAGAGAGCUAUUUAGUCUGUUUAGUGUUAUUUUUCUUCUUCUGGGUUGUUCAGUUAUUUUUCUGCCAGCAUGUCAGGGAAGCAAAUUAUCUCAAUCAAAACUAUGAGUGUGCAGAGUCCAUUCAGCGAAAUCUCCAUUUAAUUGGAGAUUAUAUUUUAAAGACUUGGAUCAAAUUUUUGUUUAACAUCUUUUUCUGCAACAGUUCACCCCAGCAUUCAAGUUUUUUACAUUUUACUUAAAUUAAAAGCCACAAGGAUAGUUUGGUUUUUGCGAACAAAGUAUUCAUCACUCUUUAAGUCUUGAACACUAAAACUUCAUUGACCCUGAAGAGUUCAAAUACUGAAUAACACAAGAAAUAAUAAGCUGCCAGAAUAUAUUCCAAAAAGUCUUUUUUAAGAGAGGAAGAACGCCAUUUAGGAUGGAAAUGGAAUCUAAAGACUGUGCUCCACGAGGAUGAAAAGAUUUCAUGUUUUAAUCUGUGGAAGAAAUUGAGGAAGAGACUAAAUAUGGAGCCCAAUUAACAUCCCAAUCUAACCCAGUCCAAAAAGAAGCAUGAAACAUGUUUUCACUGAGUAUAGAGAGGAGGAGGGACUUUGAUAUUGACCAAGAAUUCAUCAUGUAGACCAGAAAGUAGCUAUGUGGUAAUUUUUUAUGUUAGGGGUGCCCAACCUUUUUUAAAUCAAGUUUUAAGUCUUUUGAGAUCUACUCGUUCAUACAUUGCCAACAGCCUAUCAGUGACAUAUUUAUUUACAGUGCACACAAGAAAUCAACACAUCCAGAUGACAAUCAAUUCAUUUUACCUCAGUGUGACUUCAAAAAGUGCAUCAGCAGCCUCGAAGAAGGCUAACUUAACAACUUCGCCGUCCUUGCAUGACUUCUUGUGUUAGCGAGAGCAUGAGUAACUCGAUAAGAUGCCAUUGUUGCAGCUUUACCCUUGGUGUUCAGUCUGGUAAAAACAGACUGCUGUGCGGCAAGAUCAUUGUUAGAUUCCCGCACUUUAGGGGAGUGUAGUGGUGUUUUAGCAGGAAAAUCUGUCUCAUAACUUUUGUGUACUGUCUUGAAAUGUCGUUCCAAAUUGCCCUUCUUUGGUACGGCCAGGCUGGACCUUGAGUUUGAGUAGACAAAAAAAGUAAACAUCUUCCCACUCCGGGUGAAAAUAGUGAGUUUUGCGUCUUUUUGCGUCUGCCAUAUCCCUUUGUUUUAACUGCUAACUAGCAAGCGUCUCUCGGCACACGUGUGACCUGACCUGACAGCUACAACGGAGAAGGGGCAUGGCGCUGGCCCAGCACAGCCAUGAAAAAAAUACUAUCAAAGCGCGGAUUGAUGACAAGAGUUACCGUUGUCAAGGCUACUUCUCACAAUCGACUGAGAACUAGUCUGCGAUCUACCAGUUAAUAACAAUCAACUUGAUAUUUAAUGUUCAAGCUAAUAAACUGUAUUAUUUUUUGCGAACGUUGACUCAUUUUGAUGCCCAGUCCUGCACAAAACAACAACUGUAAUGCACAAUAUUUACUCUGUUAAUGUUGGACUUGUUUAUUUCGGUUUAGAUAAUGUGUUUCACUGACUUAGUCACUUGUCUGAAUGGCUUCCAGUAUUUUGCAAAUUGUUUCUUUCUUAAAAUGAGUCACCCCUCACCGCCUUCUCUAUCCUGUCUCAGCGCAUAAUUGCAGGAUUGAUGCGUGUUGACAAACAGAGGAUGAUGUGGAAGCCCGUUCUGUCAGACGCUGUCAACCACACAGAGGUGAGCUAAAGUAAGAGUAAGUGGGCACGUCUUCCUUUUUCAUUAUUUGUCUGACUUUUUAAUUAAAAAACAGACAAUCAAUAGCGGGUCGGCUCCCUGUUUAACAUGCAGAAACACAAAAGGAAAGAGACCGGGUUGUGUAAUCACUGCUACCAAGAGAAAAAGUGAAUUAUUCAUAAGACGACCACAAAGAUUCAAGUUUAGUCAUACUUGUUCUGCUCGAGUUGCAGCAUGCCAAAAUAGUCUGAUUCCUCCCUUUUUGAUUGUCUCAGUUCCCGGGUGAGGAAUUGGACUGACGUACCUGACAGCUCUGUAGAGAACAGAUUUUAAGGUUGGAGGUCUGAAGAAAACAUCUUGAAGUUUUUGGUAAAAAUAGGGAGAAAAAAGAACAGCACCAUGAUGACUCUUUUCUGCCUUUUGCUUCUUCUUGAGAGCAGAAGAUGAUGGGGUGAUUUCAUCUGCUGUGAGACAGGUGGGCUGCCAUCGAGUUAAUUUGACACAGUGCUAAUCUUAAACAGUGAGAUAGCAGCUUUGCGAAAAAGGAACCCAAGUUUGAAGACUUGUUAUCUUUUAGUGGCGUUUUCCUGCUAAUACGCCUCCAUCAAAGCGACAUAAAAGCUCUGUCCUCCUUUUAAAAGUGAUACGCAAGAAAAGGUCAUAUUGUUGCUACGAUAAACACUACAGUAGACACUUUUAAAAUGAAGGAAUACACGUAUACAAUGUGCUGUUUCAUGAUAUCCACAAAUGCAGAGGAUGUGCUUUGCUUCAGGGAUAAUCAUCUAGUGACUAAGUGUGAUUGGUAACAGCAAAACAGGGUGAUUUAUUCAAGCCCAUUUCCGACGCACAAACUAAAUUAUUUUCUGCUCUUAAUACUUUUUUUCUGCACCGAUCAACCACAUUAACUUGCUGCAAUUUGUUUUGGGCUUUUUGUCAACGAUUGCAGAGUAUAAUACAGGGCCCCCUGAAUUUUAAGUCUGUCUUGAAUCUAUGUUGCUGGUUCUCUUGUGGCCAGUGUCGUCAUCAAUACCACAUACUACUGCAAUGGAGUGUCGGCCUACUUCUGCAGUACUCCACCCAACCACUAGUUGGCAUCGUGAUGUCUAUACCUGUCAUCAGUUUGUACAUUCCGGCACUGGAAACCAUGGCAACCGAUGCUCUUGUGGGCAUUGUUGUCAUGAAUACCUCAUAUGACCGCAUUGAAGUCUCUGCCUACUGUUGCGUGGACUUGAUGAGUUAGAAGCGGGAAAAAUUUACUCCGCGCGACUCCGUGACUCUGCCCCCGUGUAGUCGUGUCCUCUUUUUGGGGAUUCAGAAAAUGGUCACCCUGGUCUAUGCCUGUUGUCAGUUUGUACAUUCGUUCACUGGAUUCUGAGUGUAAUACAUCUAAGUUAAAGCUGAAUUUGCUGUGUGACAUUUGACCAAAGGAGACAAGACGUGAGACGUUAGAGGAGAAAGACUACACAGGUGGAGAGGAAGAGGACGGUGGCAAAACUGGCUGCCAGGACUGGUGGCCCGCAUCAUUUAAACACAGUGAAAGUUUAGGGGUGAAUAAGUCUUUUGUUGUGGAUUACUAUGGCAAUCAUUCUGUUUUACUGAUGACAACAAUGUUAGUCCAUGUGCUAUGAAGGUUAAGGAUGCACAAAGUGGUGGUUUGGUGCAUUGGCCAUGCAUGUGUUUAAAAAAUAGCCCGACCCAACCGUAUAUGGUGCAGUAUUCACAUGAACUGUAAGGGGUAGUGAAGAGGCAGAGGGGAUGUGAUAGCCAACAUAGUGGUGAGGACAACAAUAGCAAAAACUUUGGACCGUUAUGAAAGUUCACAUAGCGUAAAGUUUAAACAACAACCUAGACUGUGACUUUUUUGUCCCUUUGAUCAAGUAAAGUUUCUCCAUCUCACAGGAGAAACUUCACUGACCUAUCCUGAAGUUCAGUGGCAGUAAGUUUCAGCACUUUUUACCAUCAUGAGGGACUCUGCUUUAUUUACAGGGAAGAUAUAGAAAGCGGAGAAAGACAAAUUUAAAAUUUUCAUCAAAUUUCAAAGGACUUUGUAGUUCACACGAAGGUAAAGAAGUCUCCACACCCAGAUAGCUUAUGCAUUGAGUCAGCGAUGAAAAGUUGGGUAGCUUCUUCUGAAAAGUGACUUUUUUUUUUAUUGAAACUGGUCAUUGACUCUUCGAGCAGAAAAGUGACCUUACCUGCUCCAUGAAAACUGCUUAAAUCUAUAUUUCAUUCACUCAGUCAAAACAAACCUUAUAUAUCUGUAUAUGCUCAAGUGUUUGAUUUGAAAAGCUCACAGUUAAGGUUUGAAUUAAAUCUCAUUAACAAACUUUCUUGCAUUAUAUGAAUAAAACUUCAUGUGGCUUGGAUGAACUUGAGUAACUCUUGAACUGCGAACAUUGACAAUGUUAUUUUCUCAUAAGUCGGAGCUGGAAGCCAUUGUCUGUUAUAAAUGAAGGCCUUUGCAGAAGGUUGUACUAUAGGAGCGAGGAAACUCUCAGAGAUAUGUGCUGAAAACCUCCACUUAAUGUGACUCAAGUUGUCAGGCUGUACUAGCUUUGCAGGCUUUGCUCCAUUAGUCUAUUGUAUAAGACGUGGAUGGGACUUAAUAUGAGUUCUCUGAGGAAAAGAGGCCAUCACAAACCCCUGCUGACAUGUCAGGCUAUUUUUAUUUCUCUCUCCGAUUGCGCUGCUGUUCAGCACAGCGUGAGCUUUACAAUCUGCAGUCAGGAAAAGCCUGAAAAUAAUGAAUUAUUACAACAAAAAUUGAAAGCGUAAGACAAGAGUGAAGGGGACAGUUGGGAUUAAAAAUGGAAUAAGUGUGAUGGGAUGUCAAUUAGAAAUGAAUUUGAAUUGAAAAAAAAAACGACAAGUGAGAAAUGAGAAAGCAGGAAUAUAUUAGAGGCAAUCAAAUGACAGCUCCGUUUAAAAUGGCUCUCAUCAUCAUUGUCUGAGUUUUAUUUUUACUCCCUAAACUAAUCUAUUCAAGUUUAUGACAAUCUGUAAUAAAGCGUCACUCCUCCCAGAGAAAUGAGACCAUGUUUGGACCCGUCUGGAGCACAAGUCGUGACUCUGAGAGAGGGAUGCAUGUGCCCAGCAGGGUAAGCUGUCCCCGGGGUAAACCUCAUCCUUCAAAAGUCUGCCAGAGACAUGGUUGAGAGGGAGAGGAUGAUGGGCAGAGGAGGUCUCCAGCUACAAAAGAGUGAUGGGUGAUGUCAGGAGGGCGCAGUCAAGCACAGGCAGCCCCUGGCUCUGCUGGGACAUCCAAUUCCCCGUGUGUCAGUGGCGAGAUGUGCCUUGCAUAUCAUCUGAAGAGAUCACCACUUGCUCUGUGCUCUGGCUUCAGAGGAACAUCACUGAUACACACACACAAAAAAAUCACUCAAAAUACUUGCAAAACAGCAGUUUCCUGCCCACAAACUGUUUUCAAACAUAUUUUUAAGGCUGGGCGGACAGCGAGGUCCAAAAAAAGGAGCGUGCUUCUGCAUGAGUACACAGACCACCCCUGUCUGUUUGUCACUUAUAAAUGUGGUACAGGGUUCAAGGACAGCGCUGGGAAGCAUGCAAUUUUAAAAACUGUGUUCAGAGGGUUGUCUUUGUAGUGAAAGAGAGUUUUUUUUUAUUAUUCAGAGAUCAGGGGGAAAAGGAAACUGCACCUGAAAUUCAGCUGAAAAUACUACAAGAGGACGAGUUAAAGCUCAAAGUGAGGAGUUUUUGAAGUUUAUGUAACAGAUUGAAAUUUACACCGAGGUUAACAAAGCAAACAAGAGCAUGAGUGACAAGAAUGAGAGUUUUUAUUAGUACUUUAAUUUUUAAAAUCUCGAAUAAGCACGAGGAGGUAAAUAUCAGCUGAGCAGCUAUGGAAAAGCUCAGUUUAAAAAUUUCAGGGUUCGUACCCAAGUAUGGAAAAGUAUGGAAACAAAUUUGAUUAAUUUCCAGGUCUUAAAAAGUAUGGAAAAUGAAAAAUAAAGAACGGAAAAAUAUUUGUUUCCAGACUAUUACCACAGUUCUAAAAUACUGUUUUCUAAAUAAGAAAAGUAGAUAUUUCCAAAAAUAUUUCUAAAAAGGAGGGUAUGGAAAAGUAUGGAAAAUCCAACUGUGUAGGAACCCUGUGACAAAUUCAACCUAAAUGAUGCUUUUAAUUACUAAAAUUUAGCAGAAUGACACAAAGCAUGUAAAAGACAAGAUGAGCAAAAACUGCUUUGACCACAGGGGGUGCCAAAGUUGACACAAACCUAAAAUUCCUUACUUGAGCUUCAAAACAUUACUUUAUCCUUUCGCUGGAUUCAAAAAUGAUGGUUUUGCCAUGUAGAGGGUCAAACACAUUUGAGCCAGUAAGAUCAUUUUUUCAUUUAUUAUAUCAUUUAUUUAUUUUAUCAUAGUCCAUCUAGCCUUUGAAACUAAACUGGCCAACUUCACAUCCCAGCUGCAGAAUUGAAACAAAAAGCGUUUUCAGAUCUUAAAUAAAUAUCAGCAGAGAAAUGAGCUUUUCAAACCUGUAACGCUUCACUGCUGCAAAAACAAAGCUGCUCUCUGGUUUGGAAUGCCUUCAGAUGAAUAGUUAUCAAAAUGACCCUGAGACCUGCAAAAGACUUUGUCUGCCUGCAUGAUUUUACUCUUAGAAAAUAUCAAUGAAAGUUACUGAUUGUGCUUUCCUAAAAUCGUCCUUCGAAAGGGACUUCAUUGAUCAAACACUAGAACAUGAAGUUUUCUUGUUGGAUGUAAAAUUGCAGGUUUAUUAAUCCAUACCGCUCGGUUUGAUACCAUCAAGGCUGCAGCUGUAUUAUUAGGACUUAAACUGUCAUGCAUGCUACAUGAAUGAAUCACAGCAACAAAUUAGAUUAAAGGAAAUAAAUGGGAGUUAUUAUAAGCAUAUUUAUUGUGCAAUGAUGAUGGAAAAGUAAUAUUCAGUUGUAAUUUUUGCAUUCAGUUUCAGUGCUUAUGACUUUUCCUGACAUUUCUUUCAUUUUGCAAACACAGCAGUGUUGAUUUUAGAGCUGAGAAAGUUCUGACCGUGCAUUAAAGUAUGAUAACAUUGGCUCCCUUUUUUGAAUCAAAACUUUAAAAUAUUUUUUACAACUUAACAAAGCCUCGACCUUUUGGCUUGUUGUCGAUCACUAUCAGGAAAUUUGUAGGUGCCUACUUCUACCCACAACAGCGUUGAAACCGCCUGCUGCUGCGAGGUUUGCAUUUGGUCCUGCAAAUCUAGUGCAACCGUUUACACUGUACCUUUAAUACGACAAAUGACCAGUAGAAGGAUGUGACGUAAAUCUCUGCAAGUUUGCAAGCACUGUAUCUGUUCAUACCUCACAACUAUGAAUGCUGUACCUAUAGUAGUUGAUGCUAUAGCUCUAUGUUGCUGAAUGCAGUGGUUGUGUUAUAAAUUUCCUGUUUUUUUUUCUGACUAUGUGUGAAACCAGUUUUUGUUCAGGCACCUGUUCAGGCAGCCUGGGGUCCGUGGGAUUUAACCCAUUUUUGUUAAGGCAUAGAUGCGGGCAGUUUGGGGGUCCCAAAAUAGGAUGACCAGACGUCCACUUUUACAUGGACUUAUCCUCUAUUUUGGGGGAUGUCCGGCUUUGUCCGGGGGAGUUUAUAAAAUCCUUCAAAUGUCCGAGUUUGUGUCGCAUGGACUUAUUGAGUAGAAGUGCGUAAAAAACACUUGACCUGAUUUGAAAGACUCUCAAAAUUUACUAUGUGUGACUCUGUGACUCCGCCCCCGUGUAGUCCUGUCCUCUUUUUGAGGAUCCAGAAUAUGGCCACCCUACCUAAGAGCCUUUAGCGAUAGAGGAGAUUACAGCUAAAUGCUGCAAUUAAUACUAAGUUGUCCUUUCAAGUUGAUUGUGUGUUCAUGAAGAAGAAAGUAAUGCUAACUAUGUAUGUUAAAUGUGCGUGGGUUCAACCGACUAUGGCUCAUGAAUUGUCUUAAGUUUGUAUAUAUUUGACCAGAGUUAGCUUUGUGUCUGUUUUAUUUACGAUGACCACAUAUACAAUCAAUGUAGAAAUGAAUACUGUAAAAAAGCUGUAAUGUUGCUGAGGAGAAGAAUACAACGGGCUAGGGGUGUCCCAAUACAACUUUUGUACCUAUGAUGCGAUACCGAUAAUAUAGCCUUAAGUAUCGUCUGAUACUGACAUUGAUCCAAUAUUAUCACAAACUUGUGCAUGAUGCAAGUUUUGAACUCAGCUGCAACAUUUUUUUCAGACUUUUAUGAAAAAUACUGCCACAGGGCCGACAUCACUCCUUCUCCUUGUUAGUACCUUAGUACACACUGCUGUUGUGAUCACAUGGGCUCUGCAUGCUGGAUCUGGGUGCUGCUCGAUAGAGGUGCUGGAGUGGAGUCUGGAAUGGACUGCUUGUAUCGGAGUGCUAAUAUCAGAGAUUUUAGAUGCAGGCCGAUUUAAUGCGAGAUUUGAUUUUUUUGUUGAUAUCGGACUGAUAUCUGAUUCAAAGGGCUAAUUAAAUCCGUGUGUCCUGGCUUCACUCUCUAACCGUAGUACUUAAACGGUUGGAGUGUCCCAGCAUCAUUUCACAACAACAUAGAAGUGCUUUUCCAAUAGGUUGUCUGCCUGCAAGAAUACAAUUUAAACCUCAUCCCUUAUUUGUCUGUUUUUGCAGUAUUUGUAUUACCCAGUGCAUUCAGCUGACAUGCAGAUACGUGUCAUUUCAACCAUUUAUUAGCUUAAGUAUUAAAUACAAGGGGAACAAUAGCGUCUUUAUUUGGCUGUAAACUGAAAUGUCUCCUGAUGUUGGACUCCUGUUUCUGGGUCAGCCUCUCUGAAAAACUGCCAAAGCUGCUUAUUAUUUAUUUACUUUGUUUUUUGUAAGCUCAUCCCAUCCAAAACAAUCCCUGGCACACACACAGCUCAGAAAAUUUUGAUGUUAAAGUGAUACCCAUCUGCUGCACCUGCGAGCUGAGGAUUGAUCUGUUAAGUCAAUGUGACUCACACAUAUCUACACACUACUCCCCAGAGGCAAACACACCCAAACUAAAUCGGCAAUCAGACGGCGUUCAUCUCUCCGCUGAAAGUUAAUACUCCAUUUGAGAGAAAGUUUCCGAUUGGAUAAUGAUUUUGAGUCCGAAAAAGCUGAAACAAACGCACAUUCAUCCAACUGUGAAUGUGCUUAGAUUGUCGACAUGCUGCAAUUAGAGAGCAGAAGGUGGCUGGAGGGGGAAAGGUUUGCAUGCAGAGUAUUGGCAAUGCCCCUACUACUCCUCCCCCCUCCACCCACACACACACACCCACGAAAUAUGCUCCUUUUAGUGCCCUCGAUAUGAUGAAAACCAACAGUGACUCCUGCGCCCUGAUGGUUGCUGCUUGUGGUCCUUUUCAAGCUGGGGAACAAAGGCUGUUAGGGUCGUUGUAUCAUGAAGGUCAUGUGAUGCCUCAUCCAUUUCCCUACAGCUAUUGUGACCCCGCCCAAAACAGUCAGCCCUCCAGAAAUUUCAAGAACAGGCAGUUUUUUUGCCGCUUUUGUGGCUUCGCAGCAUUUAAGCUGAGGAAUCAGACUGUCAGUCUUCUGCAGGAAGUCUUAAACAACCUUCUUUCACUCCAGCAGGCUGCCAAAUUUACUGUAAAAUAAUAAAUCACUGAUGCUGUUCUUCUUGUGUCCUUAUACUACAUUUAAUGAUAUUCAAACCAUGUGCAAUCAUUCUGAAUAAUACCAUGCAUCUGUCAUUUCAGACUCUGAGUUUGGCUCUGAAUAAGUGCCUCUGGAAGAUUUAUUCAAUUGUGCUACUCGAUGCAUGAUGUUCCCUCCUCUUUUUUUUUUAUUUGGAAGAAAAAAACAUUUCAUGCUGAAAUUAUGACUGCCUGCCUGUCUAAAUUUAUCAGCUCAAGAGAUGAAAUAAUUACAAUGAUUAUGGUACAAUCAAUGCUCUGUGUUUAUUGAUUGUACAAGUGCAUCUGGAAGCCUCAGCUUUAAUUUUAAUCACAGUAAUUGUAGCUUGCACAGGUACCGAGGUACUCAGGGUAUUGACAGAAUUAUCUUGGAGUACAAGCUGCAUUUGGGCAAGAUUACAGGGAUACUGGCUCUGAAUCACUGCUGCAGAAGCUUUAUAUCGAAAUUCCUGUUUUCUUGUAGUAAAAAGACAGCUUAUGGGCUCUUCCAUCAAUACUCAGAGAUUAAAAUGAACCGGAUGACUUCUUCUAUUUCUAAAGCAGCUGCUUGCUUUGGAAACGAACAGAUGAUUUAAACCCAAUUCUGAAGUUUCUCUUUUAGCUUUUUCUUUUAAUUUCGAUGCACAGUUUCUGUCGGGUUAAAUUCAUCAAUCACUGUUUCCAAGAGCAGAAAUUAGUAGAUACAGUAAAAACAGAUGAAGACAAGCUUAAGCAAAUUGGCCGAGGAGGAAUUAUGUUAACUUUUAAACCAAAACCGAGCAAUAGUAUUUCCAUUUUAUGUCUGAUGGAAAAAUAAAACAACUUGAAGUUCUUAUGAGUUUUUUGACAUUUAAGAAAUAGUCAGAGGUUCAUAUUGAUGUUUUUCUUUUUUUUUAAUGAUAUACAAAGUAAACAAGAUCACCGGGAAUAGGACCAACAAUUUUUAUAUGGUCAUUUUUAGGGCCCGAGCGUAGCUGCUAAGCAGCUGCGAGAGCCCUAUUAUUCCUGAUGGAUUCUUCUUUCUUCUUCUUUAGGGCCCGAGCGUAGCUGCUAAGCAGCUGCGAGAGCCCUCUUGUUCCUGUAGUUUCCUUCUUUUGUUAUUAUUAUUAGGGCCCGAGCGUAGCUGCUAAGCAGCUGCGAGAGCCCUAUUAUUCCCCAAGGGGUUUUUCUUUGUUUCUUUUUUCUUUUUCCUCCCCUUUGAACUGGAAAAUGGCCCACUUCCCACUGGCGAAAACUCAUGAAAUUUGGCAGGACGACCGGGCCUGGUGAAAAAUUUGAUAUUCCGAAGUCGCCCAAACAAGAAAAUGCAAAAUGGCUCCAUAGCGCCCCCUAAGGUGAAAAUUCACACUAUUGAGUGUCACGCCUGUACGCUUUGUCAAAAUGACACAAAAUUUGACACACACAUGUAUCUCAAUAAGAUCUACAAAAAAGUCAGUGCGGGCGUAUCUGUCAAAUGUACGGUUAAAGGGUUAUUUCGCAUUUUUUGCCGAUCCGCACACAUUGGAAUUUCGCUAACUCCUUUGAAGGCUUUCGUUCCACCGGCACCACAUUUGCUCAGGCCAAUCUACACCCCAUGGCCAUUAAAAGUUAUUCAAAUCAUGACGCUGCACCCCACGGUUUAGGUUCUAGGGGGCGCCAAAGAUAACCCUAAAAUCCACAUAUUUAAAAGUCUUAUAACUUUUUAUUUUUGCCCUCACUGGCCUCCAAGUUUUCUAGGAUGAUGCAAUGUCCAGCCAUCAACACAUUUGUGAAGGAAUUUUUACUCCCCAAAAGAGCGCCCCCCCAUGGCAGGAGAAAAAAGUCCAUUUUUUCUUGUCCCCUAAGGUGAAAAUACACAUUGUUGAGUGUCACGCCUUUACGCUUUGUCAAAAUGACACAAAAAUUGACACACACAUGUAUCUCAAUAAGAUCUACAAAAAAGUCAGUGCGCGCGUAUCUGUCAAAUGUACGGUUAAAGGGUUAUUCCGCAUUUUUUGCCGAUUCGCACACAUUGGAAUUUCGCUAACUCCUCCGAAGGCUUUCGUUCCACCGGCACCACAUUUGCUCAGGCCAAUCUACACCCCAUGGCCAUUAAAAGUUAUUCAAAUCAUGACGCUGCACCCCACGGUUUACGUUCUAGGGGGCGCCAAAGAUAACCCAAAAAUCCACAUUUUUAAAAGUCUUAUAACUUUUUAUUUUUGUCCUCACUGGCCUCCAAGUUUUCUAGGAUGAUGCAAUGUCCAGCCAUCAACACAUUUGUGAAGGAAUUUUUACUCCCUAAAAGAGCGCCCCCCCAUGGCAGGAGAAAAAAGUCCAUUUUUUCUUGUCCCCUAAGGUGAAAAUACACAUUGUUGACUGUCACGCCUGUACGCUUUGGCAAAAUGACACAAAAAUUGACAAUCAUGUGUAUCUCAAUUAGAUCUACGAAAAAGUCAAAGAGCGCGUAUCUGUAUAAUGUACGGUAAAAGGGCUAUUUUGCAUUUUUUGCCGAUUUGCACACAUUGGAAUUUCGCUAACUCCUCCUAAGGCUUUCGUCCCACUGACACCAAAUUUGCUCAGGCCAAUCUACACUCCAUGGCCAUUCAAAGUUGUAAAAAUCAUGACGCUGCACCCCACGGUUUACGUUUUAGGGGGCGCCAAAGAUGACCCAAAUAUACAUUACAGUAGACAAAGUAGUUUUGCCCACUGAGUGGCGCCAAAGGGACUUGUCUGUGGAGUCUGUGAGUCACUAUUGGCCGUUUUUGACUACUUUAGAUUUUACCUUUAUAUUUCCUCUUACAAAAUUUUUACCUCGCCUUGCCUGGUAUCAUUUUUUUCAGCACAACCUCACCUGUGUCAAUUUACAGUUAUUUUAUCAUUCUGACAUACUAUAUUUGGACCCAAAUUCACACACAAAACAUAAAAUCCGAGUGGAAAAAAGUAACGUUUUUACUGUGAAAACCACAAAUAUGUGUGAUGAACUGUUUUUAAAACUUAAACUUCAAAUAAAAAUUGUAAACUUCAAAACAUAUGCAAAUUUUUUUAACAAAGAACGUAGUAAUUUACCUCUAUUUACAUCAAAAUGCAGGCAAUGGCCCAGGUGUUCUUUGUAAAAUUAUUUACAAAACACUGUAUAGUCUCACAAAUGUCACUUUUUAUUUAUGCCACUACAAAAAAACAUGAUGUAAAUGAUGCAUGAUGUAAAACAUGAUGUAAAAAACUUGUGUAGAUCCUCCUCUAUGUUAGUCCAUGUGUAAUUUUUCCAUAAUUCUUUGUUUUUUGCAGCAUUUUUGUUUGUGUAACUGCAGAUUGUGCCGACAGUGUCUAUGGCAAAAAAAAAAAAAAAAAACUGAAAAUGCCUCAACAUGAACCCCUGGUGGUCUCUGAGGGUGAAACCUGCUAACUGCUGCAGCUCUGUCAGCUUCAGUCUCCCAUGCAGAGCUCGGAGCGCAUGUGUGGCUCUGCACCCUUAGCAGCAUUGCUAACUCCUCAGUAAGGAAAGCCUGCUUCAUGUCAGAGUCUCUAAACUCCAGAAGAAGUCGAUAAAAGUCACUUUCUUUCUAAAAAAAAGUCGUUAGGGGGUCUGAAAAGUCAUUGAAUCUAACAACAAAGUCGCUAGGUUUGCAACUACGUGUCCCAGACUGCAUCCCUGCUGAGAGUCCCUCCCUCCCUUCUCAUAUUGCAGGAAGAACGUAAGCGCCCGCCCCUUGUCAAUCAGUCACCAUAUAAUUUUGGAUUGGUUGUUGUGGUGAAGUUUUCCACCAAUAGGAGAGAUGUUGUGGUGUGUUUUUUUUUUCCUUUGGCAAGCCUUUUCCGCCUGUAAGACCUGUCGCUAAUGUCUGCAUGCUAUGUUUUCCUGUCUCAUACAGCGCGAUCGAGCGCCGAACGUGAUCAAAAUAAGCAGAAAACAAGUAUCGCGGACAUAAUUUAUCAUAACUUUGGUUUUAUUUGGCCUAUCAACACAAUUUAAAAACUGGUAUAUAGGUUGAGGUCCUCACUUUUGAGAUAAGUUGAAACGGAGAGUCAACGAGGCUCCGUCUUGCAGCUACAUCCGGUUAAAUAUGUCAUGUGACUUGAACGCACACACACACACACACAGACACACACACACAUGCACACACUCAGAGUCUGGUUUUUAGCACCUGCAAAAACAUGCUAUUUACAUAUUUGACAAGAAUGCAGAGGCUCCUUUUGCCCCUGAAAAAAAUCAAAUUUCAAACACAACUUGACUGGUCAUUUCUCCAAAAGACAACCAUGAAGCUCCAUCCAAACCUGAAGCAGGCAGUUGGUGCAUGUGUACAGUAACCUGAGGGGAGUGAGGUGACUGCUUCUGAGGAGAACAUGAGCAGUGAAGAUUCACCUUAGAGCUAGAACAGAGACGUGCACAUGAUUAUACAGGGGCAGGGGCUCAAGUUUUUUCCAGUUGUUUAUACAAUAUGGAAAUUAAUGUGAAAUUAAAAAACAAAGUAUUAAUAGAAAGGUAAUGACUGUCCUAUGUAGGUGACAGUGACAUCCAAUAGGCUAGGCACUCACGAGGCUGGCUGUGGCAAGUGUAAGUGAAAGCAACAAGCACUGGCAGGAAGAACAGCAAACGCCGAUGAAGGAAAAGGGUCUUUGCAGUGAUGGGCGUUACCAGAGAGGGCGAUGGCCAGAGGACACAAAUGGGACGGGGAGGCAGCGCGUUGGGGGGGGGACGCGACACAGCUCGGGCCCGCCAGUGCCCCAACGGGGUCCUAGUUAGGGCCCGAGCGUAGCUGCUAAGCAGCUGCGAGAGCCCUAUUAUUCCCCAAGGGGUUUUUCUUUGUUUCUUUUUUCUUUUUCCUCCCCUUUGAACUGGAAAAUGGCCCACUUCCCACUGGCGAAAACUCAUGAAAUUUGGCAGGACGACCGGGCCUGGUGAAAAAUUUGAUAUUCCGAAGUCGCCCAAACAAGAAAAUGCAAAAUGGCUCCAUAGCGCCCCCUAAGGUGAAAAUUCACACUAUUGACUGUCACGCCUGUACGCUUUGUCAAAAUGACACAAAAAUUGACACACACAUGUAUCUCAAUAAGAUCUACAAAAAAGUCAGUGCGGGCGUAUCUGUCAAAUGUACGGUUAAAGGGUUAUUUCGCAUUUUUUGCCGAUCCGCACACAUUGGAAUUUCGCUAACUCCUCCGAAGGCUUUCGUUCCACCGGCACCACAUUUGCUCAGGCCAAUCUACACCCCAUGGCCAUUAAAAGUUAUUCAAAUCAUGACGCUGCACCCCACGGUUUAGGUUCUAGGGGGCGCCAAAGAUAACCCUAAAAUCCACAUAUUUAAAAGUCUUAUAACUUUUUAUUUUUGCCCUCACUGGCCUCCAAGUUUUCUAGGAUGAUGCAAUGUCCAGCCAUCAACACAUUUGUGAAGGAAUUUUUACUCCCCAAAAGAGCGCCCCCCCAUGGCAGGAGAAAAAAGUCCAUUUUUUCUUGUCCCCUAAGGUAAAAAUACACAUUGUUGAGUGUCACGCCUGUACGCUUUGUCAAAAUGACACAAAAAUUGACACACACAUGUAUCUCAAUAAGAUCUACAAAAAAGUCAAUGCGCGCGUAUCUGUCAAAUGUACGGUUAAAGGGUUAUUCCGCAUUUUUUGCCGAUUCGCACACAUUGGAAUUUCGCUAACUCCUCCGAAGGCUUUCGUUCCACCGGCACCACAUUUGCUCAGGCCAAUCUACACCCCAUGGCCAUUAAAAGUUAUUCAAAUCAUGACGCUGCACCCCACGGUUUACGUUCUAGGGGGCGCCAAAGAUAACCCAAAAAUCCACAUUUUUAAAAGUCUUAUAACUUUUUAUUUUUGUCCUCACUGGCCUCCAAGUUUUCUAGGAUGAUGCAAUGUCCAGCCAUCAACACAUUUGUGAAGGAAUUUUUACUCCCCAAAAGAGCGCCCCCCCAUGGCAGGAGAAAAAAGUCCAUUUUUUCUUGUCCCCUAAGGUGAAAAUACACAUUGUUGACUGUCACGCCUGUACGCUUUGGCAAAAUGACACAAAAAUUGACAAUCAUGUGUAUCUCAAUUAGAUCUACGAAAAAGUCAAAGAGCGCGUAUCUGUAUAAUGUACGGUAAAAGGGCUAUUUUGCAUUUUUUGCCGAUUCGCACACAUUGGAAUUUCGCUAACUCCUCCUAAGGCUUUCGUCCCACUGACACCAAAUUUGCUCAGGCCAAUCUACACUCCAUGGCCAUUCAAAGUUGUAAAAAUCAUGACGCUGCACCCCACGGUUUACGUUUUAGGGGGUGCCAAAGAUGACCCAAAUAUACAUUACAGUAGACAAAGUAGUUUUGCCCACUGAGUGGCGCCAAAGGGACUUGUCUGUGGAGUCUGUGAGUCACUAUUGGCCGUUUUUGACUACUUUAGAUUUUACCUUUAUAUUUCCUCUUACAAAAUUUUUACCUUGCCUUGCCUGGUAUCAUUUUUUUCAGCACAACCUCACCUGUGUCAAUUUACAGUUAUUUUAUCAUUUUGACAUACUAUAUUUACACAUUGGACCCAAAUUCACACACAAAACAUAAAAUCCGAGUGGAAAAAAGUAACGUUUUUACUGUGAAAACCACAAAUAUGUGUGAUGAACUGUUUUUAAAACUUAAACUUCAAAUAAAAAUUGUAAACUUCAAAACAUAUGCAAAUUUUUAACAAAGAACAUAGUAAUUUACCUCUAUUUACAUCAAAAUGCAGGCAAUGGCCCAGGUGUUCUUUGUAAAAUUAUUUACAAAACACUGUAUAGUCUCACAAAUGUCACUUUUUAUUUAUGCCACUACAAAAAACCAUGAUGUAAAUGAUGCAUGAUGUAAAACAUGAUGUAAAAAACUUGUGUAGAUCCUCCUCUAUGUUAGUCCAUGUGUAAUUUUUCCAUAAUUCUUUGUUUUUUGCAGCAUUUUUGUUAGUGUAACUGCAGAUUGUGCUGACAGUGUCUAUGGCAAAAAAAAAAAAAAACUGAAAAUGCCUCAACAUGAACCCCUGGUGGUCUCUGAGGGUGAAACCUGCUAACUGCUGCAGCUCUGUCAGCUUCAGUCUCCCAUGCAGAGCUCGGAGCGCAUGUGUGGCUCUGCACCCUUAGCAGCGUUGCUAACUCCUCAGUAAGGAAAGCCUGCUUCAUGUCAGAGUCUCUAAACUCCAGAAGAAGUCGAUAAAAGUCACUUUCUUUCUAAAAAAAAAGUCGUUAGGGGGUCUGAAAAGUCAUUGAAUCUAACAACAAAGUCGCUAAGUUUGCAACUACGUGUCCCAGACUGCAUCCCUGCUGAGAGUCCCUCCCUCCCUUCUCAUAUUGCAGGAAGAACGUAAGCGCCCGCCCCUCGUCAAUCAGUCACCAUAUAAUUUUGGAUUGGUUGUUGUGGUGAAGAUUUCCACCAAUAGGAGAGAUGUUGUGGUGUGUUUUUUUUUCCUUUGGCAAGCCUUUUCCGCCUGUAAGACCUGUCGCUAAUGUCUGCAUGCUAUGUUUUCCUGUCUCAUACAGCGCGAUCGAGCGCCGAACGUGAUCAAAAUAAGCAGAAAACAAGUAUCGCGGACAUAAUUUAUCAUAACUCUGGUUUUAUUUGGCCUAUCAACACAAUUUAAAAACUGGUAUAUAGGUUGAGGUCCUCACUUUUGAGAUAAGUUGAAACGGAGUCAACGAGGCUCCGUCUUGCAGCUACAUCCGGUUAAAUAUGUCAUGUGACUUGAACGCACACACACACACACACACACAGACACACACACACACACGCACACACACACACUCAGAGUCUGGUUUUUAGCACCUGCAAAAACAUGCUAUUUACAUAUUUGACAAGAAUGCAGAGGCUCCUUUUGCCCCUGAAAAAAAUCAAAUUUCAAACACAACUUGACUGGUCAUUUCUCCAAAAGACAACCAUGAAGCUCCAUCCAAACCUGAAGCAGGCAGUUGGUGCAUGUGUACAGUAACCUGAGGGGAGUGAGGUGAGUGCUUCUGAGGAGAACAUGAGCAGUAAAGAUUCACCUUAGAGCUAGAACAGAGACGUGCACAUGAUUAUACAGGGGCAGGGGCUCAAGUUUUUUCCAGUUGUUUAUACAAUAUGGAAAUUAAUGUGAAAUUAAAAAACAAAGUAUUAAUAGAAAGGUAAUGACUGUCCUGAGUAGGUGACAGUGAUAUCCAAUAGGCUAGGCACUCAAGAGGCUGGAUGUGGCAAGUGUAAGUGAAAGCAACACGCACUGGCAGGAAGAACAGCAAACGCCGAUGAAGGAAAAGGGUCUUUGCAGUGAUGGGCGUUACCAGAGAGGGCGAUGGCCAGAGGACACAAAUGGGACGGGGAGGCAGCGCGUUGGGGGGGGGACGCGACACAGCUCGGGCCCGCCAGUGCCCCAACGGGGUCCUAGUUAUUAUUUUUCCUCCCCUUUGAACUGGAAAAUGGCCCACUUCCCACUGGCGAAAACUCAUGAAAUUUGGCAGGACGACCGGGCCUGGUGAAAAAUUUGAUAUUCCGAAGUCGCCCAAACAAGAAAAUGCAAAAUGGCUCCAUAGCGCCCCCUAAGGUGAAAAUUCACACUAUUCACUGUCACGCCGGUACGCUUUGUCAAAAUGACACAAAAAUUGACACACACAUGUAUCUCAAUAAGAUCUACAAAAAAGUCAGUGCGGGCGUAUCUGUCAAAUGUACGGUUAAAGGGUUAUUUCGCAUUUUUUGCCGAUCCGCACACAUUGGAAUUUCGCUAACUCCUCCGAAGGCUUUCGUUCCACCGGCACCACAUUUGCUCAGGCCAAUCUACACCCCAUGGCCAUUAAAAGUUAUUCAAAUCAUGACGCUGCACCCCACGGUUUAGGUUCUAGGGGGCGCCAAAGAUAACCCUAAGAUCCACAUAUUUAAAAGUCUUAUAACUUUUUAUUUUUGCCCUCACUGGCCUCCAAGUUUUCUAGGAUGAUGCAAUGUCCAGCCAUCAACACAUUUGUGAAGGAAUUUUUACUCCCCAAAAGAGCGCCCCCCAUGGCAGGAGAAAAAAGUCCAUUUUUUCUUGUCCCCUAAGGUGAAAAUACACAUUGUUGAGUGUAACACCUGUACGCUUUGGCAAAAUGACACAAAAAUUGACACACACAUGUAUCUCAAUAAGAUCUACGAAAAAGUCAAUGCGCGCGUAUCUGUCAAAUGUACGGUUAAAGGGUUAUUCCGCAUUUUUUGCCGAUCCGCACACAUUGGAAUUUCGCUAACUCCUCCGAAGGCUUUCGUUCCACCGGCACCACAUUUGCUCAGGCCAAUCUACACCCCAUGGCCAUUAAAAGUUAUUCAAAUCAUGACGCUGCACCCCACGGUUUAGGUUCUAGGGGGAGCCAAAGAUAACCGUAAAAUCCACAUAUUUAAAAGUCUUAUAACUUUUUAUUUUUGUCCCCACUGGCCUCCAAGUUUUCUAGGAUGAUGCAAUGUCCAGCCAUCAACACAUUUGUGAAGGAAUUUUUACUCGGCAAAAGAGCGCCCCCCCAUGGCAGGAGAAAAAAGUCAAUUUUUUCUUGUCCACUAAGGUGAAAAUACACAUUGUUGAGUGCUACGCCUGUAUGUUUUGUCGUAUUGACACAAAAUUUUACAUACAUGUGUAUUUCCAUAAGAUCUUCGAAAAAGUCAAUGGCCACGUAUCUGUAAAAUGUACGGUUAAAGGGUUAUUUCGCAUUUUUUGCAGAUUCGCACACAUUGGAAUUUCGCUAAUUCCUCCGAAGGCUUUCGUUCCACCGGCACCACAUUUGCUCAGGCCAAUCUACACCCCAUGGCCAUUAAAAGUUAUUCAAAUCAUGACGCUGCACCCCACGGUUUAGGUUCUAGGGGGCGCCAAAUAUAACCCUAAAAUCCACAUAUUUAAAAGUCUUAUAACUUUUUAUUUUUGUCCUCACUGGCCUCCAUGUUUUCUAGGAUGAUGCAAUGUCCAGCCAUCAACACAUUUGUGAAGGAGUUUUUUCUCUUUAAAAGAGCGCCCCCCCAUGGCAGGAGAAUAAAGUCAAGUUUUUCCUGUUCAUCAUUCAAUGGCUCAAACGCACUGCUCUCUCGGCAAAAGCGAAAGGAGGAGCAACUUGCCAUUUGGAUAUAUCUUAGCUGUGUUUGUGCCCUCACUCAUGGUCCAGACUUUUUUCAAAUAGGACAUGGAGUUUUUCUGCAGCGAGCGUUUUGGUAGAAACUGCGCCUCCCGUUCAUUAUAAUGGUAAAUGACCACAAACAAGUGCGCACACCAUCUUUGGACCUUGAGUGUGACGCGAUCGGGUGGGGGAGGCGGUCGCGCUGGGGGCGGCGCGACACGGCUCGGGCCCGCCAGUGCCCCAACGGGGCCCUAGUCUUCUUAUUAUUUUUCUGCCCCUUUGAACUGGAAAAUGGCCCACUUCCCACUGGUGAAAAGUCAUGAAAUUUGGCAGGACGACCGGGCCUGGUGAAAAAUUCGAUAUUCUGAAGUCGCCCAAAAAAUCAAAUGCAAAAUGGCUCCAUAGCGCCCCCUAAGGUGAAAAAUUCACAUGAUUGAGUGUCACGCCUGUACGCUUUGUCAAAAUGACACAAAAUUUGACACACACGUGUAUCUCAAUAAGAUCUACAAAAAAGUCAGUGCGGGCGUAUCUGUCAAAUGUACGGUGAAAGGGCUAUUUCGCAUUUUUUGCCGAUCCGCACACAUUGGAAUUUCGCUAACUCCUCCGAAGGCUUUCGUUCCACCGGCACCAAAUUUGCUCAGGCCAAUCUACACCCCAUGGCCAUUAAAAGUUGUACAAAUCAUGACGCUGCAUCCCACGGUUUACGUUCUAGGGGGCGCCAAAGAUAACCCAGAAAUCCACAUUCUUAAAAGUCGUAUAACUUUUUAUUUUUGUCCUCACUGGCCUCCAAGUUUUCUAGGAUGAUGCAAUGUCCAGCCAUCAACACAUUUGUGAAGGAAUUUUUACUCCCCAAAAGAGCGCCCCCCCAUGGCAGGAGAAAAAAGUCCAUUUUUUCUUGUCUCCUAAGGCGAAAAUUCACACUAUUGACUGUCACGCCUUUACGCUUUGUCAUAUUGACACAAAAAUUGACACACACAUGUAUCUCAAUAAGAUCUACAAAAAAGUCAGUGCGGGCGUAUCUGUCAAAUGUACGGUGAAAGGGUUAUUUCGCAUUUUUUGCCGAUCCGCACACAUUGGAAUUUCGCUAACUCUUCCGAAGGCUUUCGUUCCAAAGGCACCAAAUUUGCUGAGGCCAAUCUACACCCCAUGGCCAUUAAAAGUUGUACAAAUCAUGACGCUGCACCCCACGGUUUACGUUCUAGGGGGCGCCAAAGAGGACCCAAAUAUCCACAUUUUUAAAAGUCUUAUAACUUUUUAUUUUUGUCCUCACUGGCCUCCAAGUUUUCUAGGAUGAUGCAAUGUCCAGCCAUCAACACAUUUGUGAAGGAAUUUUUACUCCCCAAAAGAGCGCCCCCCCAUGGCAGGAGAAAAAAGUCCAUUUUUUCUUGUCUCCUAAGGCGAAAAUACACAUUGUUGACUGUCACGCCUUUACGCUUUGUCAAAAUGACACAAAAUUUGACACACACAUGUAUCUCAAUAAGAUCUACAAAAAAGUCAGUGCGGGCGUAUCUGUCAAAUGUACGGUUAAAGGGUUAUUUCGCAUUUUUUGCCGAUCCGCACACAUUGGAAUUUCGCUAACUCCUCCUAAAUCUUUUGUCCCAUCGGCUUCAAAUUUGCUCAGGUCAAUCUACACCCCAUGGCCAUUCAAAGUUGUACAAAUCAUGACGCUGCACCCCACAGUUUACGUUCUAGGGGGCGCCAAAGAGGACCCAAAUAUCCUCAUAUUUAAAAGUCUUAUAACUUUUUAUUUUUGUCCUCACUGGCCUCCAAGUUUUCUAGGAUGAUGCAAUGUCCAGCCAUCAACACAUUUGUGAAGGAAUUUUUUCUCCCCAAAAGAGCGCCCCCCCCAUGGCAGGAGAAAAAGUCAAGUUUUUCCUGCCCAUCGCUCAAUGGCUCAAACGCAUCGCUCUCUCUGCAAAACCGAAAGGAGGAGCAACUUGCCAUUUGGAUAUAUACUAGCUGUGUUUGUGCCCUCACUCAUGGUCCAGACUUUUUUCAAAUAGGACAUGUAGUUUGUCUGCAGCGAGCGUUUUGGUAGAAACUGCGCCUCCCAUUCAUUAUAAUGGGAAAUGACCACAGACAAGUGCGCACACCAUCUUUGGACCUUGAGUGUGACGCGAUCGGGAGGGGGAGGCGGUCGCGCUGGGGGCGGCGCGACGCGGCUCGGGCCCGACAGUGCCCCACCGGGGCCCUAGUUAAUGCUUGAAACUGCUGUGAGAGUGUAAGUGUCGGUGAAGCUGCCAAAGAAACAGAAUUUCUCCCUCGAGUCUCAUUUAUGCUCGACAUUAUAUACGAUAUGGAUAUGGAUAUGGAUAUGGAAGGAACUUUCUGCCCGUGCUUCACGUUCCUUUAGUCUUUAUAUCUGCGCGUAUCAUUAAACUCACGGGUAUGGGCCAGAUGGAGCAGUACCACCGGAAACCGUGGGGGCAGUGUUGCUGCUGUCAAUAUCCGAUACGCAUCUCUAGAGAGAAUAGGAGAAGACGAUGGCGGGGCUGGAAAUGAGGAUUGUUGUCAGUUUCUCUCAUCGGUACCACUGGAGAAAAGAAUUCUCCGUCCUCCAACCGCGAGGCAUUUAAUGAUCUGACCAACCACCGCCUCCUCUAACGCUGCCUCCGUUUUCAUCUUCUAUGCAAAAUAAACAUUAUCACUCGCUCCUCCACAGUCGCCAUACUUCUUUUUGUGUGUUGUUGUCAGAAACGUUUGACUCCAGCCUGCCCCCUAGUGGAUGUAAUGGUUAUCAUCCAUGCCAUCCAAUCCGCCCGCAGUGAGCCUUUAGGUAUUCACUAAUUUUGAAUCAUUAUGUCCCAUUAGAACCACUAGUCUCUGAGCUCCAUUAUGCCGUAGGUUCCUCUAGAUUGCUGCUGCACACGUGAAUUGGCGCCAUAUAAAUAAAGAUUGAUUGACUGAAAUCUUGACCAGGAUUUGUUCUACCAGAGAACUCAACGCUCAGGUGUUGAAGUGCUCUUAGCUCACUGUGUUUUCAACUGCGAUCAGUGAUUCAUGUCACGUUUAGUAUUCCCACACAUAUCUACACUGCAUACAUGUUUAUGUUUAAUAGCCUACUUUGCUCUGAAUACCAUUAACCUGUACUAGUCAGGAAUUAUAAUGUGCUCAAAUAAUUACAUCUCCUUCAUUAGAGGUGUGUGCAUGUAAGUGAGAACAUGAUCAAAGAUGACUUUGUUGAAGAUGGGGCUUAAUCUAAUCCCACCUUUACAUUGGGUCUUUGUAAAGACAGUAUGGUCUUGACCUGCUUUUUUGUGAAGUGUGCUAAAUUAAGAUUAAUUGAUUGAUUUAUUGAUGGUGUUUUAAUUGCACUUGCACAUACCUUGGCUAAAACAGGAAAGUGCUAAUUUGAACAAUGUUUAUUCUGUUUGUUCAGCCUGUUCUUGUUAUUAUACUAUCUGCGUUGUAUGUUCUGUUUGUGAACCAUGCGAUUGGUCGGGGUCAUGUUAAAGAUUUCUGCUCAGCAACACCGGGAUCUGUAAAUAGAUGAUAAGAGGCUGGUUAGAAACAAGUAGGACUGAACAGAAGGAGAGGGUUUAAUGGACAGAGACUAGAUUCACAAUUUUCCUCUGCUUGGUGUAAAAUUAGGAAGUGGAUUUCUUCGGAAAAAGUUAAUACAGUUCUCAAGAAAUAAGUCGUAAUAUGACUCAAGCAUCCACAGAAACAGCCUGGUGCUCGCUGUGUCUCAAAUGAUCUCAUAGCAGAAUGACAAACAUGAAAAAUGGAUGUUCAACCGAAACACACAAACACACACGAGCAUGCAUAAUAAAAUCCAGAAUAACUGUUCACUCCGGUUUGUUCUUUGACAUUAUGUCUGCUCGGAUAGUAGCGUGAGCCGUACACCAGCAGAGCGGCAGCUUUGGUGCUCCAUCUGUUUGGCACAGGAUGCAUUCAGGCACAUAAUUGAGUGUAGGUCACCUGCAUUUUGGCAGCGCUCAAAGCACAAAACAUAAUCACUGCAGUUAACACUUAAAACAAAGAAGUUAGACGCGGAGCAGUUAUGAGACAAGCGUAGAUGGCUGUAUUGAUUAAAUUCAAGCAGAUAAAACGUCUCCUGUGAUGAUUUAGGAACACGCAGUCGAUUCAAAUAAAGGGAGGCAGUGAAAAAAGGAGCCAAAGACGUGUGAAACAUGUUCAAUCAUAGUUUAAAUUCGCAAACUGUCUCAGAGGAGUCUUUUUAAACUGCAGAAGGAAAGAUGAAAAGGAAUCACUUGUGACCACAAAGUCCUAAAUCUGUUUUUUAUGGUUGACAUGUUCGAAAAAGGAAGUCAGAAACAGCUCUUCUUGAAAAGAGUAACUGCAGCUAGCAUCGCAAACCUUCAUGUGUCAUCAAAUUUUAAGUUGUCUGGCUUUUGUCCUUCAGGCGCAGCUUCUAAUUUAAGAGGAAAACAUCAUCUGUACCGCCAUCUCAUUCAGCACUAUUUGGAUUAGCUAGCUACACAUGUGCGACGAAACAACUGCAGGUUUGAUUUUCCUGUCCUGUCGUGUGAAAUCGAAGUGCAAAGCCUCUUCUCUGUUGGAAUCACAGCUGUACGUUUGCUUUCUGCCAGCAUGCAGCUACCUGCCGUGAGACAGGAUGAAACAGAAACAGCUUUUUGGGUUGAGACAAAAGGAAAAUGAUAUUUUUUUAAUAGCUCGAUCAAUCUCCAAAGUUAUGAAUUACUUGAAUGUUAUAGGGAAAGCCUUAGGUUACUCAUUACAGCAUAGAAAACAAUAUCCAAGGACCUUAAUGGGGUACUUUGUUACACAUGACCCCCGAGGCACAUCUCUAACCGAGACGUCAACAACCUGCUUCUCAGUUUUAAAGGAAGAAAGUUUCAAAAUAAAAUACUGCUUUCUGUCUGAAAGUUGAUUUUCAGUGUAUUUCAAAUGGACUGUUUUGGUACUCCUCUGAUUUGAGAGCACAUACAGCCCUCAGUGCUUCUGCUAUAAACUGUACAAGGCUCUAUGUAAUUAUAGAUAUGGAUUUUCAAUUAUUGUACAGCAAAAAGGCCUAUCUGAAGAUUUUCUGUUCAGCUGUGCACAGCCGGAGGCCCAGUGCUCCACGGCUUCAUCCAGAGACAGUAAUGCCUCUUUGGUUGUUAACCACUGGAUUAAUAACAUUUCCUCCCAGGAAAGUACUUUCCUCUGCUGAUUAUUCCGCCGUUUGAAUCCUCGUUCUCUACGAGACAGAAAAUAAGGAGGGAGCGAGGGAAACAGCAGCUAUAAAGGGAAGCAGCUGUGAAGGGAAUGGGUCAGCGAGGGAUAUUGUCCAUCUGUCUUUAUUUGUGCUUUGGCCAAACACUGAACGACGGUUUCCUCAGGUACUACUCCCUGUUCCCUCUGAAGUACCUGACCAGGAUCGUUGAGAGUCUUUUGUCUUGUGAUAGGAGCCCAGUAACAGAUCACAGCAAAGAUCAGAUACCUUUCCUUCAAUUUUUACAUCUAAUCUGAGUCAUUCAAGCAUUCACCACACCAUUUCUAGAUUACUGCGUCUCACCGUAUUAGUCACGCUUUUCCACGCCAGUCGAGGUCGUCCAGAAUACUGCAGAAGGCAAUUCAUCCAGAUCCAAUAAAUGGGUCAUAGUCAGACUUUGACGGUUGCAGAACUGACAAAUCCUCACUGUUGGUACACAAAUCGAGUCUCACUUCUUUUAAUAUCUGUGAAAUCCCUCAUCUAUUAUCCUGAUCCGCUCAGACUAUCAAACGACUCUCUUAUCCCUACCACGGUUACAGUUAGAAAAUGACUCAGCCCUCAGGUUAUGGACACAUCCUGCUUCUCUGACAGGAAAUUUGGCCUUCAAAGCCUCAUUAUACAAGCAAGUAUGAAAAGUAGAAUAAUAUCUGUGAUACCCUUGGCCCUUUUUUGGAGAGUUAACAUGUUUACAAGUAUUACAUGAAUACUAAGUUGUAUGGUUUAGUGUGAGCUGCAGCAAAUUAGCAAUUACUGGAAAGUGUGCAAAGUUUCAUGAUCAAGUUCAGGACUUUGACUCUUCUACAGCAAAGCCACAUGCAGAGUGUGGUUCUGGCUUCUCUUGCUGAAUUAUCCCAGGCAUAGACUGUAUACACUACGGACAACUUGGUUCCGCCUCCUGUUGUCAUACGAAUUGCUGAAUUGCUCUCGGGAUCUCUGGGAUUUUCUCCACUUUCUGGAACCACCACCUGUUGCUUGUUUCCCAGUGUGCGUAUAUAGUCCCUGGUCGUUUUUAAUUUGUAUACUAUACUAGCAGGACGAACUGGUUUGCCCAAAAUUUAGUAUGCAGUAUGUGAACACAUGCGAAAGUUGCAGUAUGCGAAAAAUACCUGGAUGACGUACUAAUUCAGGGAAAAUUUCAAAGAAUGCAUUGGACCAGUUUGCUUCACCUACUGUUAAUGAUAAUGAUAAUAAUAAUAAUAAUAAUAAUAAUAAUAAUAAUAAUAAUAAUCAAAAUAAUAAUAAUAAUAAUCAAAAUAAUAAUAAUAAUAAUAAUCAAAAUAAUAAUAAUAAUAAUAAUAAUCCAAAUAAUAAUAAUAAUAAUCAAAAUAAUAAUAAUAAUAAUAAAUUUGAUUUAUAACGUGCUUUUCCAGGUGCUCAAAGACGCUUUACAAAAAAAUACAAUUUAAAAUAGAGAACAUUUUGAGUAAUAAGACCAACAGUGUAAAAAGGGACAACACUGUAGUGUUGUCCCUUUUUAGGGUGUACUUUUUAAUACUGGGAACCAGCUGUACUGGGCCAAGCAUACUACAUAAUAACAGCCGACUUGCAGUCAUACUGCAUACUAUUAUUGAACACAGUACUCAGUAUGCACUGUGUACGGCAUACUGCGUUCAGCAGGCGAAUUUGAAAACAGCCCCUGUCUGCCCCUCUGUUUUGGUUGGUUCAUUGUGUGUGUGUGUGUGUGUGUCUGUUCCCCGUGAUCUUUCAUCUUUGAGUCUCUCGUCUCCUUGUGAUUUUUAACUCAGUGUCUUUAGUUGGAUUUUGCCUUUUGGAAUUUUUGGUUGGACAUUUUAAUGUCAGUUUUGGUUGUUUUUCAUUUAGUUCUUUGUAAUAAAUCCUCUUUUUUGUCUUUAUUUUAGGUCCUUUCCCUCUUGUUUAACUCUGGCACAUGACAGAGUGAAUCAACAAGGACAGCGGGGGAAGACAGGAACUAUAUACACACUGGGAAACGAGCAACAGGUGAGGCAGACGAGACGCAGGUGAAACUCAUGGGUGAUUAACAAAGGAGGGAAAACUACGAAAGUAAAACCAGACGAGAAACGCGAGGAAUCAACUACUACAAAAUAAAAUAGGAAACACUGAAAACUGAUCUCAAGAAUAAAACAGAGAGAACAGGAGGGAAACAGGGUCAAACACAAACUGAAAACUCACAAGACUGGACUACAGGGGAACAGGAACACUAGGGGGACAGAAACUCUCAGGAAAACACAGAAAAUGCACUCAAUAAAUUAACAAAA